CCCCACCCACUGCUUGCUAGAUACUAGUAAGACUUGAUCCAUAAAAAUUAACUCUGCAGGUUUCCAGAGUUCGGGUUUGACGGUCCCUUGCAUCUCCUCUCCAUCCAGAAAGAUACUCAGUUGGAGGGAAUGAAAGGUAAUACCUUUAAAUGCAAUCGAUUUCAUCUUAAAGAUGAUUGAAAUCGAAUUUUGUUCCCCAACAAACCCAAUCUUCCAGAUCUCCUCCGAGAUAUCCACUCGGAAUUCCAUUAUCAUACAUCGAUGGUGUGAUGAAAAUCGUCUUCCCGUAUCUGUCCGAACCUUGAUUUGACCAAGAAUCCCUUCGAUCCAUUCACCGUUGGUAAUCCCCGGAUCCCAUCUUCGAGAAAACAUGAAACCCUAAAUCGCCUUGCUCAUCGCCUAUCGGUUCUGUUUUAAUGAGUUUGUUGAUUUGUAGGUAUUGAAUAAAAACUUAAAUCAAUUACGCAAUAAAAACUUAAAUCAAUUACGCAAUAUUAAAAUUAAUUUGGUUAAUUGAAAGGUAUAAUGGUAUUAAAGAGAAUAUAAAUCUUAUUUAUUUAAAUAAUCAUCUACAAAUCUUAUUGGGACAAACUUAAGAUAAAAGUGUCAACAUGGACACUAUUUACAUAUAUGUAUCAUUUGAACCCAUAUGUAUCCUGGGUAUACAACGUAAAUUAGCAUUUCUUAUAUAUUCUAACACAGCUAUAUUUCGAAAUGUUAUAAUCAAGAAAGAUGUCUUUAGUAUACAUACAGCUUGAUAACGACAUAUAGCCACAACGUAGUGAUAUACCUUAUCUAUAUUUUGUGCCAUAACAUGUUCUGCCUUUUACCUUAUGUGGCGCUUAAAGAAGAAUAUGUUUCUCAUAUACUCUACUGUGUUCAGCGUAAGCUAGGAUAUAUAUUCUAGGGAAAUCCGGAAAAUAUGGAAGCUUCCAUAUUCGGUUAAAGAUGUUUCAUAAAUCUAAACUAAAUCUUCCCUAAUUAUCUCAUAGAAUAUUUUCUCCCACGUUUUUCUCCUUCUUCCAUGAUCUUUUCUCUUCGUUCAUUGUAUUUCUCUCUUCUUCAUCGACAUAAUCAUCUCUUUUCUCUAUCAAUACAACAUGAUUCUAAUUUAUGUUAAAUAUAGUGAAUGGAUGUCUAGUUGCAGUGAAGAGUGGACUUUCGUGGUAGACAAAGAAAAGCGGGGUCAAAUGGUAACAUUAGAAACUACUACUUCAUUGGAGAAGCUUAAGAUGAUGGUGUAUGAAGAUUAUGGGAUGGACCAUAAUGUUGUUAAUGUCGAGUUCAGUUAUUCACUGUUGAACUCUCCAACAGGCUAGUCAUUAACAGUCAGAGGCUAAAACUCACAUGGGGAAGAUCUCACAUCCCAAAACAUGGUCAGUAUGGCUGGAAGUACCAACAAGGCAGUGUGGCUCAGAGUGUCUUACUAACUCCACCAAUGCAGCAGCAAUAUUAUAUGCACCCAGCACCACCUAACCAGGACAAACCUUAUUACCCAUCAAUGGAUCCGCAGAGAAUGGGUGGUUCAAGCAGCAGUGAGAACAACAUAGCUUACAUGAUGCCUCCACGACAGCCAUAACACUCCACCAUAUUGACAAAAUAUAUGUUGUUGAUCAUACUUAAAUAUGUAUUUUUUUUUGUGUUGAGACCCCAAAGAAAAACUAUCCAAAAGAAAUUAGAUUACUCAAUCUUAAACUGUAAUUAUUUCAAUUCACAUAAAUUUCAAAAUCGAUUUCUACAUAGCUGUAUUUUACUAUUUAAAUUUUUGCAAUUAUUUCAAUUCACAUAAAUUUCAAAAUCAAUUUCUACAUAGCUGUAUUUUACUAUGUACAUUUUUGCAUGGAUCAUUAUAUAUGUAUCAUUUGAACCCAUAAUUUUAUUUAGUUUCAAUGUAGAAUAAUUGUUUAUAUUUACCAUUAAAGUAAGCCCAAUUGUUCUAUGUACGAGUUUGAGACCAACGUCGUUUACCCGCAUGUAGAAUUAACAAUUUUGCACUAAAGAAAAUCAAUCCUUGACCUAGACCGAGAUCACUACGAUGUGGUUAUUAACAAUUGUUCUUUCGUGUAUACUUUUAGUACUUGGUUCUGGCAUAUGAUAUAUUGAUUGAAUUUUGAAUUUUUGAGCAUUGAUUAAAUGCAGUUAAUAACUGCAAACAUGUAAUAAGAUGUCUUAUGAUUUCGUUUUCUUUUUUAUCAUUAACUUGGGAAUAUUACGGAUUAACGAAAGGGUCAAGACUAAUUUUCAAAUGGAGAUACAGUCUACAGAUGAACACUCUUUCUAAAUAUUCAAAUGGGAUUUAAUCAAUGGAUCCAUAUCUGCAUAACUACAUGUAGAAUUAACAAUUUUGCCGUGAAGAAGAAUUGUUCCAUGGUCUAGAGCAAUAGGAUAACUUCUCGGGCAGUGGAAACCAUAAACUACCACAACGUGGUUCAUUAUAGAUUUUGUUUUGAUGCAUAUACCUAAAAUCUAAUUCUGUUUGUAUUUUAUUAGAGAAAAAGUGAAGUGAAGCAAAGAUAAUGUAAGGAAAGAGACGAGGGAGAAUAAAGUAAGAUUGGAAAUGUGAACCCAUUUGGAGUUGGCAGUGAGUGAGAUGGAACAUCACAUGCACUGAUGCUCUCUUUUGUCCCUUUCCUCUUGGAGCUUUCAUUUCUCGAAACCCUUCUUCUCAUUUGUUUCCUUGUCACUCUAAUCUUACCCCACUUAUUUAAUUCUUAAAGGUUCUGUAUUUUAUUUUCUCAUGCUAUUCAUGACUUAGUAAUGAUGUGAUAAUUUGAUCUACUACGCUUAAAGUCUCAAUUGUGGCAAUUAUGUUUGGACAUAGUGGCAAUUUCAGAAAAUUCUGCAUGAUUGUUUCCAUUAAUAUCGUAGUCACCCAAACCGACGUGAAUUAAUAUGUAUCAAAAAAACUUGUAUGAUAUCUCCCUUUGAGUGUGGAAACUUACACAUUUUGAUUUUUUUAAACUAUAUUUAUCUCUAUAUGUUCUCCAACGUUUUUUUUAAUGUUAAGUAUAUCUUCUCCAACUUACAUAUUGUUAUAUCAUUGAAUGUAUCAAUUAUCUCUAACAUUCUCCACCUUACUAAAAUAUUAUAAGCAGUCUAUUGAAUUAUUACUAACAUGUCAAAAGGUGCAACUAGUACUAUUAUAGGGGGAGAGUAUCAUAUAAUAUUCAAACCGACGCGUAUAAACUAAAGUGAGUUUGGAUGAUAUAUGCGUAUAUAAUAUGGUUGUUGGAAUGUGCAUAAAAUUAUACUAAUAAAGAAGAGUUGGAAGUGGGAUUACUAAGGUGAUGUGGGUCUAGGGAUUCACUCCAAUUCCACAUUAUGCAAAGGAAUGUCACUUACCGUGAUAUGUGCUGUUCCUCGAUCUCUCUGAAAGAUUCACCUGUUACAUUCUCCUUUAUUGUCUCUAUCUUUUUCUUCUUGCAUUUUCAAUAUAUAUACUUUAAUUUUAUGUAAGUUAAUCGAUUAGAAGUCUAGAUUGUCUAGUUGACCCGUCUUGUUUAGAUAAAAGAGUAAAUUAGCUAAAUAUACUAACAAAGGUGGGAUAUCAUUGAAUGGGGGGAAAAUGGUAAUGUUGGGGGGAAGAAAAUUGGAGGGAUAUAGGGUAUGGAGUGCAAAUAGGGGAAAAGUGGUGUGUAGGGAGUACAAAUUCUCUAGAUAAAAUUAGGGCUUGGCACAAGACAACAUUUCCAUAAACAGUAAAUAUAUACCAUUUGCUUUGGUUCGUGCAAAUAUUUAAGGAAAACAUGGUCAAAUAUUUGUUCUUUUUUUCAACUAUUUUUUCAUGCUUUUAUACCAUACCUUUUUUUAAUACCAUACUUGAGAUUCAAUUCUCAGAAGAUGCACAUUUUUCAAAUUAUAAGUUGAACAAUUUAUCAAAAAAUUUUAAAGUCUUACUAGUAGAUUUUUCAUUGUGGUCGUGUGCUACCAAAAAAUUUUAUUCGUCGAAAAUGUCAUACAUACAAAAUUUCUGUCAGUCCAAGUGUUACAAAGAACUAUGUCUUGAAAUUGUUAUUGGUGAUAUUGUUCAUCAAUAAAUUAUUUUUUUGCAUGUAGUUAAUAAUCAUAUGUAAUAGAAAUAUAAAUUAUAUGAUGAUAUAAUUGACAAUUCGAUCAGUGUUAAAAGUUAUAUUUUAUUAAAUUGAUGCACACACCGUUUUCACAACACUAUUCAUAUUUUAAUUGCAUAAAUAUAUCUUUAAUGGUAUAUAACGGUAAUUUAUAAAUAAUUGUACAACUUUUUAUUAUUUGUACUAGUUUAACCAGUUUAAUAUGUAUAUAGCAUACUAGUUAGGAUAAUUAUAAUUUCAGUUGUAUUUUGGUUUAUAUAAGCCAAACUAUUUAUAUUUGAUUUUAUUAGCUAUAAUAUGUAGUUGUGGUUAUAUUUGAUUGUACUUGUCAAACUAACUUUUAUUUGAUUAUAUUUGUUGUAUUCAGUUUUUUUGGGUUUCAUUGUUGUGUUCAGUUGUACUCGAUUAUAUCAGUUUUCUUUGAUUCAUUGCAUUGCAUAUAUGGGGUUACCAUCGUCUAGCUUUUCACAAUUUUACAUAAUUAUUUGAUGUGAUAUUCGCCUAUAAAAAAUAAGUACAAAAAGAUGAGAAGAGAUGAAAACAACAAAUAAAGGACGAAAGAAAAAUACUGAUACAGUUGAUCCAACGUCUAAAUUUAAUAAGAUUUUCAUUCGCGAUUUAUAAGUGCAUAACUAUAUUAUUUACAAAAUUUAAUCUAAAAAUAAAAUUUUUAUUUUUAUUUGUAUAUCAUUAUGAUUAAAGUGAUAAAAAUAUUCAUAAUCUAAACUUAUAAAGUUUAAAAUUGGAAUACGCUUAGUUAGUUUGGAUAUUACAUUUAUAUUAAUUAGUUUUCAAAACUAAAUAAAAUUAUUUUUGCACCUAUUUUAUAAUGUUAAUAUUAUAGAAUUAUUUUUUUCGUUUUAAAAAAUAAAACUGAAAUAAGAUUUGUGAUAUUUUUAAUAGUAACUAAGAAUUUAAAUAGUUAUUUAAAUAAUAACAAUUUAAAGGUUUUCUAAAAUUUUGUUAUAGUAAACAAGAAAAUAAAUAAUUAUUCAAAAUAUCAUUUAAUCAUAAAAUGAUAUCAUGUGUAAUGACAUAUUGUAUUGGAAUUUUUAAUUUGUAAAAUAAUAACCAAAUGAUCUAUAAUGAAAUCUCUAGUCAGGUUUCAAAAAUUAGUGACAUUUAAGUAAAUCUCUAGUCAAACUAAAACGGAGUCAAUGUUAUGUUGAAUUUAUCUUUAUUUAAGUUAUGUCAAACACUUAAUCUAAUGAUUUCAAUGUCAUUUUAAUGAUAGUGCUUCUAUAUUUUAUUUUCUACCAAAUUAUAUAUGACAGUCUGAAUACUACAUAUCAACAUGCAUGAAUGAUUUAUUGCAUACAUAUAUGAUAUGUUAACUUAAGAUCAUGAAGUCGAUCAUCAAGAAUCAUAUGAAUUUAAACAUCAAUCAAAGAAUUAUAUUAGUGUCAUGUCCACCUAGUAGUAUCACAUAAAUGCAACUUUAUUUUCAUAUGAUGAUUCUAUUUUAAUAAGAUGGAUAAAAUAAAUUGGAUAAUAUUCAUAUAAUUACUUUUCAUGAUUAGUACAUAUAAAUGGUCAUAUGCUGUUGUUAUUGUGGUUGAAUCACUAUCCAUAAAGAAAAGUAAAAAGUAUUUACUUGUAAAAUAAUUAGACAUUUUAUUUUAUUUUUAGCAACACAUUUUAAUUUUGUGUGAACAUUAUAUAUUAUUCCAUAUACUUCCUUAAGAUGAAAUGUAUCUUAGGGGUUAAAAAAGCUAAUUGGAUUCUUUUUCCUUGUUAUUGAUUUAUGGUGAGAAGCUCAAGAACCAUAGGCAACAUCGAGAGAAAGAGGUCCUAUCCAUCAUCAGAGAGAAUCUCAUAUCGAUCUCCAACGUCUUCAUAUUGGUGAGUCAACGUCGUUUUCAACUAUCAUCAGUUGUUCUUUCGAACAAUAGUUUUUAGGUAUCAAGUGAAGCAUCUCUUUGGGGCCUUUCACUCUUUAAACACAUAUAUCUCUCUUUUCAUUGUUAUAGUUCUUGUUUGUCAGGUUACCGUUGAAUUUAUAUCCGGUUGUACUCAUUUAAACUGUUUCGGUCUCUAGAUUAAUAUAAUCAUUUCAUGGACAAAAACAAAUUUAUGGUGAUUCAGACUAAAGUGCUAGCUCGGCUAUCUCAGAUGUGUAAGCUUAUUGUGUACCAUCACCAAAAUUGCAAAGCCAAUUGAGCCAACAUAAACAUAUAGAUCUAUUAAGUGUGAAUUUAAUCAUGGACAAACUAGAUAAGAAAUUUAGUUUAUUAAAAGUAAUUCGGAUUCUAUUACAAGAAAAUGAAAUUGGGGAGUAUUUAGAUAAGAAAUUUAGUUUAAUAAAAGUAAUUCAGGUUCGAUUACAGGAAAUCUCUUACUUAUUAAUAGACAAACAUUUUAAUAGAGCAACUUUAAUUUUGUAGUCUAUUCACAAGUUUGCCAUUUAACUGAUGUGUCAUCACCACAUCUCUUCUCAACUCAUCAUUAAAAUGAUCCUAUAAUUACUAGACAUAUUACAUAAAUUGACAUUGGUAUCACUCUAAUACAUAUUAUAAUUUUAUACAAUAAUACCAUUUGAAGUAUUACCUAAAUGGAAAUAACUAAAACGUGACCUCUCAUCAUUUUCUUUCAAGUUUCUAAUAUCAACAUUAACCAACAUCAUCAAUUGCAAAAAAAAAAGAAAAAGUUUUGUAUUUAGAAGAAUCUAUGACAUUUGCUUAAUAACAAAUCUGUUGCUUAGCUAUACCUAAACAAAAUUCAAUUAGAACUAAGAAACAAUUUUCAAUAUUUUUCAGAAGGACAUGCUUCCUCUGAUGUGUCACUAUACCAUCAAGGUACGUGAUGUUUCUGAUGUUUCAAAAUUUUGAACAGACAAAUUCUGCAUAUAUAUAUAUGUCAUAUUUAUCUGAAACUCUAUACAUAUCUUAUAGUUUAACGGGACAAUAAUAUGAUAAACGGUUAAAACUAUACUGCAAAGAAAGUGAUAUGGGCAGGCCUCCGUAAAUUUAAGUUUCGUGAUGUACAACAAAAUUUUAGCAAAUUAGCGCUAUGCAAAUUUAAGUUUCUAUAAUUUUAAAUAUAUUUUGACCUUAUAAAACCAUAUAAUUUAUUGUCUGAUUCGUGAUGUGCAAUUCAAAUCUUUGAUUUUUAUUUGGGAAUUGAUUGUACUUAUUUUCCGUAAAUCUUUACCUUGAAAAAAGCAAGUAGGCUCCAAAUGGUAACUGCGGUUUGAGCGGUGCGGGACAAGCAGUUUAACUGCGGUGCGGUUUUAACAGUUAUAAAAACGUAUAAAUAUAUGGUAUAUGUAAAGAUUUUUGUUACUAUUAACUGCGGUGCGGGACGGGGCGGUUCGUAACAUUCGAAGCCAUAAUGUGUUUACAAUUUAGGUUGACUUAAUAAUAAACUUGAUCAAAGUCCAUUAUGAAGUUAUAAUGUACUUUUAUCAAAAUUAUAGUCCGGUUAGUUAAUCCAAUUUAGUCUUUUUCAGUAUAAAAUUCACGUUUUAAUUAAAAAAAAUUACAAAUUAAAAUAUUUUAUAUAACAAAUUAUAUUUGAUGUAAUGUUAUAUAUAACAUUUAUAACGUAAAAGUAGUCAAGACGGAUAUUUUUAUCCUAGUUAAAAUGGUAAAGCAGAAAUACGGAUUUGCUAAUUAUUAUUUAAUUUUAAGUGUACAUUAUAGGUAUUUCGAGUAGUUUAGACAUGCAUUCAUUUGCCUACACACUUUGACUGUUUCUUUCUGUAAAAGAGAAGAAAAAACUUGUAGAUUCCAAAAAUCGAUUAUAGUGAAAUCUGCAGCGAUUGAAAAUGGACUUAACUCUCACAGUAAAGAUGAUCCAUUAUAAAUUUUGUGUUCAGUUUUUUUCUUUUUCUGUUAUAUAUCAUCGGUUUUGGGAUCCAAUACUAAAUAAAUAAGCUCCACCAAACUAUGAACGUUUCCGCCAAUUCGUACGUGUUGUUUUACUGAUUUGAACAUCAUUAUAUAUUUAUAUAUGCGUGUUAAAUCAUAAUAGUGACAACUCAAGAAAAAAGGCAGUACAACAAUACAGCAAACAUGCGAUGACAAGUUGUACAUAUAAUGGUCGAGACCAUAAGAUAUCUGUAGACGAUUUUUGAAUACAGAUUAGGGAGGACCCGAAGUUGGCAGAUAAAGUUGGUAUACUAUUUCAUUUAGCAAUUUUUUAACAAUGUCUUGAAAUUUCAGAUACGAUUGAUUCAAAAUAAUUGGAUGGAUGUUUUCCUCUCCAAGGGAUUGAUAUAUUUCAGACGAUGGAAGUAGAUUUUUCUAACCAGUUUUUUUUCUUCAAAUUAUUAGGUAGUAAUUGGGAGCAAAAUUUUCUAAACAAAUAAUCGCAGAUUUUUUUGUUUUCUAUUUCUGCGUUAAGAAAAUAUGAUUUUUAAUUAAAAUUAAGGAAACUGAUCUUUUUUUUUUACAGAAAAUGAUGUUUAAAUUCUUGAUAUCUAAUUAUAUAGUUUAGUAAAACUAAUCAAGUGUAAGGACAAUUUCUAGUACAGAGGCAUCUUGAACAUCUAAUCUUAAUUAACAUCCAGUAGCUAUAUGUUAAGUACAACUAGAUAGAGAAAACCCUAGUGACAUCUAUAUAUACAUAAGUUAAUGAAUAGUGACACAAAUAACAAUAUUACAAAUAAAAUAUAAAAUACGGAGCUUAAAAAACAUCUGCCAAGAAUCUUUGUGCUGCAGUCUUUGAAAGUUAAAACAGUAAGUAAUAUAGCUUCACUAGCCAACAGAACUUUGUCUCUACACUGCUGGUUUCAAAAGGAUUCUCUUUUAAAGAAGUGAAGAAACAAAGAAAGACUACAAGAUAAAAAGAGCUUAAUCAAGAAAGAUAUGUUUGGCAAUUGUGACCAAAAGAAGAAGAUGCCUAUCAUCCAGUCUCCUAAUACAAAUCCACCGGUCUCUCUCUCUCUCUCUCUCUCUCUCUCUCUCUCUCUCUCUCUCUAAAUAAUAUUGACCCAUUUAUCUUUUGUUUCUUAGCUUUUGGAUCCGAAUAAUAUCCUUUUGUCCUCUCUUUGUUCUCUUGCCUUUAGUUAAACCACACAAUCUAAAAACAAAAAAUUCUCUCUUCCUCUCUUCUCAGGCAAGUAUGCAGAGCAAGAACAUGAUCGUUUCUCCGUCUCAUCAGCAGCAACCACCUCAACCGCAACUUAAAUGCCCUCGUUGCGAUUCAUCGAACACAAAGUUCUGUUACUACAACAACUACAGCCUCUCUCAGCCGCGGCACUUUUGCAAGGCUUGCAAAAGGUAUUGGACACGAGGUGGGACCCUCCGUAACGUUCCCGUAGGCGGUAGCUACCGGAAGAACAAACGUGUGAAAAGGCCAGCAACCACAACCGCAGCUUCCACGGCCUCGACGACUACUUCUUCAUCCCCUAAUAAUCCUCAUCAUCAGAUCUCCCAUUUCCCUUCCAUGAAUCAUCAUCCCUUGUUCUAUGGUUUAUCAGAUCAUGUGAGCAGUUGUAAUAGUCUUCCAAUGUUUCCAAGCCGUUUCAGUGAUCCUCCAAAGACUUCAAGUGGUUUAGAGGGUGAGUUUCCCUCAUCUGGUUUUAAUGGUCUUGGAUUAGGGCUUCCACAUCAUAUGAGUCAUGACCAAACCAUUAAUGGUAGCUUCAUCAACAGCUCUACAACAAACAAACCAUUUCUUCCCUCGAGUCUAUUUGGGUCGUCUGUAUCUUCCUCUUCAUCUACUCUUCUCCAGCAUGCACACAAGCCCAUGAACAAUAAUGGUGAGAUGAUGGGACAGUCCCAUCUCCAAACCCUAGCAUCACUUCAAGAUCUGCAUGUUGGAGGUAACAAUGAAGAUGUGAACAAAGAAGGAAAGCUUGUUGAGAUCUCCGGGGACAUGAAUGGGUUCAUGUCAUCAUCAUCCUUAGAUCCUUCAAACUACCACAACAUCUGGAAUAAUGCAAGUGUUUCCAGUGGAGCAUGGCUUGAUCCAACAAAUAAUAUCGUUGGAUCCUCCCUUACCUCCUUGAUAUAAACCAAAACUUAUUGGUUAUAACUAGCUAGGGUUUCAUCUUCAUCACUUUUUCUUUUCUGUUUUGAGAUGAGAGAAGAAGCUUGGAUCAGAGAGAUAAAAUCAACAGAUUAGGGAGGACCCGAAGUUGGCAGAUAAAGUUGGUAUACUAUUUCAUUUAGCAAUUUUUUAACAAUGUCUUGAAAUUUCAGAUACGAUUGAUUCAAAAUAAUUGGAUGGAUGUUUUCCUCUCCAAGGGAUUGAUAUAUUUCAGACGAUGGAAGUAGAUUUUUCUAACCAGUUUUUUUUCUUCAAAUUAUUAGGUAGUAAUUGGGAGCAAAAUUUUCUAAACAAAUAAUCGCAGAUUUUUUUGUUUUCUAUUUCUGCGUUAAGAAAAUAUGAUUUUUAAUUAAAAUUAAGGAAACUGAUCUUUUUUUUUUACAGAAAAUGAUGUUUAAAUUCUUGAUAUCUAAUUAUAUAGUUUAGUAAAACUAAGCCAGUGUAAGGACCAUUUCUAGUACAGAGGCAUCUUGAACAUCUAAUCUUAAUUAACAUCCAGUAGCUAUAUGUUAAGUACAACUAGAUAGAGAAAACCCUAGUGACAUCUAUAUAUACAUAAGUUAAUGAAUAGUGACACAAAUAACAAUAUUACAAAUAAAAUAUAAAAUACGGAGCUUAAAAAACAUCUGCCAAGAAUCUUUGUGCUGCAGUCUUUGAAAGUUAAAACAGUAAGUAAUAUAGCUUCACUAGCCAACAGAACUUUGUCUCUACACUGCUGGUUUCAAAAGGAUUCUCUUUUAAAGAAGUGAAGAAACAAAGAAAGAAUACAAGAUCAAAAGAGCUUAAUCAAGAAAGAUAUGUUUGGCAAUUGUGACCAAAAGAAGAAGAUGCCUAUCAUCCAGUCUCCCAAUACAAAUCCACCGGUCUCUCUCUCUCUCUCUCUCUCUCUCUCUCUCUCUCUCUCUCUCUCUCUCUCUCUCUCUCUCUCUCUCUCUCUCUCUCUCUCUCUCUAAAUAAUAUUGACCCAUUUAUCUUUUGUUUCUUAGCUUUUGGAUCCGAAUAAUAUCCUUUUGUCCUCUCUUUGUUCUCUUGCCUUUAGUUAAACCACACAAUCUAAAAACAAAAAAUUCUCUCUUCCUCUCUUCUCAGGCAAGUAUGCAGAGCAAGAACAUGAUCGUUUCUCCGUCUCAUCAGCAGCAACCACCUCAACCGCAACUUAAAUGCCCUCGUUGCGAUUCAUCGAACACAAAGUUCUGUUACUACAACAACUACAGCCUCUCUCAGCCGCGGCACUUUUGCAAGGCUUGCAAAAGGUAUUGGACACGAGGUGGGACCCUCCGUAACGUUCCCGUAGGCGGUAGCUACCGGAAGAACAAACGUGUGAAAAGGCCAGCAACCACAACCGCAGCUUCCACGGCCUCGACGACUACUUCUUCAUCCCCUAAUAAUCCUCAUCAUCAGAUCUCCCAUUUCCCUUCCAUGAAUCAUCAUCCCUUGUUCUAUGGUUUAUCAGAUCAUGUGAGCAGUUGUAAUAGUCUUCCAAUGUUUCCAAGCCGUUUCAGUGAUCCUCCAAAGACUUCAAGUGGUUUAGAGGGUGAGUUUCCCUCAUCUGGUUUUAAUGGUCUUGGAUUAGGGCUUCCACAUCAUAUGAGUCAUGACCAAACCAUUAAUGGUAGCUUCAUCAACAGCUCUACAACAAACAAACCAUUUCUUCCCUCGAGUCUAUUUGGGUCGUCUGUAUCUUCCUCUUCAUCUACUCUUCUCCAGCAUGCACACAAGCCCAUGAACAAUAAUGGUGAGAUGAUGGGACAGUCCCAUCUCCAAACCCUAGCAUCACUUCAAGAUCUGCAUGUUGGAGGUAACAAUGAAGAUGUGAACAAAGAAGGAAAGCUUGUUGAGAUCUCCGGGGACAUGAAUGGGUUCAUGUCAUCAUCAUCCUUAGAUCCUUCAAACUACCACAACAUCUGGAAUAAUGCAAGUGUUUCCAGUGGAGCAUGGCUUGAUCCAACAAAUAAUAUCGUUGGAUCCUCCCUUACCUCCUUGAUAUAAACCAAAACUUAUUGGUUAUAACUAGCUAGGGUUUCAUCUUCAUCACUUUUUCUUUUCUGUUUUGAGAUGAGAGAAGAAGCUUGGAUCAGAGAGAUAAAAUCAAGGGCAAUGUUGUUCUUGGCCACUAUAAAUCUCCCUCGGAUCCUCUUCAUCUCACCAUCUCCAUCAUUUUCAUUCGCGUUGUUCAAGAAAAACAAAAGGGGCUCAAGAUUGGUUCAAGGUUUACUAUGGUUGACUGUUAAGUUCACCCAAGGUAAAUUAUACUUGUAUGUACAUAAUAUGGUCCUGACUUCUAUCAUCUUUUCUUUUCAUCUAUGUAAUUCUGAGGUCCACCACAUGGGUUGGUGUUUCUUUUCACUGGGAUUAGGAGGGUAUAUUUGGGUUAAUUUGAGUUUCUCAUGGGGCCGGAGAACUCAAUAGUUUUCAAGUUUUAGAUUUUUUUUGUUUCACUUUUCUUCGUUGGUAUGGCUUUCAUUGGGUAUACAAGCAGCGGGAGGAAUGGUGUUUUGUGUUGCUAUAACUUUGGUUAUUCACGUAUGAGUUAUGUUAUUACGGUUCUUUUGGAUGCAUGUCUAUGUAUAAUAUUAUAAAUAUGUUGUUAUCACGAUAGAUAUGGGACGAAUAUACAUGUGCAUUACUUGGAUUGUCCUAACGGAAAAUGUCCUUUGGCUAAUGUCAACUGGGAGAUUCAUGAAUAUGAAAUAAACUCGCACAAACGUCGUCAGUGGAUACAAUUAGUAUACUUAGACCGACAAAGCGGACAAAUAUUGUAGAUAUUUUAUUCAUAUAAAAUACUGCUCAUAUUCUUAUGUCAUAUUGAUAAUUUUGUUCUCUAGCAUUUUGGCUACAAGCCUUACAACUCAUGGUUCCGUGUAUAUUACAACCGAGACAUAUAUAUAUGAGCACAGAUUUGGUCCAGGCCUGGAGUUUAGUGAGGUGUCUUUGUAAAGUGGGCACGAGUUCGUUACCAGUUUCUUCAUGUCAUGUUCUCAGAAAUGAUUUUCGUACAAGAGUUGGAGACUAUUAUUCUAAAACAUUGUACUGUUUGGACACAUGGACUUUUUAUCAAUUUUUUUGCAGAUAAUCUACGGAUCAAAAUUCAAUUAUCACGCGAUUGCACAAAAUAUCAUGAUUUUACGAUCGAUCUCAUCUGAAAGUCCUAUGUUGAGAAGUAUGGGCUAUUUGGAAUGUGUCUGCCCCGGUUAAUGGUUGUUGCAUCUCCAUCUUUGUAAUUAUGGAUCAGGUGUUGAGGAUUGCACACGAUUGUACAAAGAUAUAUAGUGUGCAUCAUGGGUUGUUGGCGACAAUAGAAGCUUGGUACUCUGCCAUAGCCAUCUAUCCUUUUCUCAGAUAAUGUCUUGUUUCGAUUGGAAAAUCAAAAGUUGGGAAGGCUUCUUGGAUAGUAUGAGAAGCUUGAAACUCAAUAAUAUUUUUGGAAAUUAUCAAAGCGUUGCACAAGCACUUAGACUAGCAAGUUUUCAUGGGACAUACUGCGGGUGUGAUUUACUCUCAUAGAAGCCCAAGUUGGGUAAGAUAUUUCUUUUCAGGAACCCAAAGUGUAGUUUAGGAUAUAAUCUUAUAAAUUCGUAUAUGGCAUAAGAAUGCCCUGUUGGAUGAAUGAAUUCCUUGAGAAGGAAAGUUCAGUCACCAUAGUUGCAUUCACCCUAACUCAAUUCAGUUCACAAAACUCAGUUCAACGAACCAAGUGGUGGUAUUCUAGUGGUAAUCUCUUGGGGCUCAGCGUGUAUCCACCUGGUAGUAUUAUAGUGGUAAUCUCUUGGGGCUCAACGUGUAUCCACGUUGAUCCUGAAUUGAUUCUUUCUGGAAACUAAGUUAUCAUUAUUUAGCUAAUGUGGACUUGGGCUUUGGUCCAGGUAGUUAACAUGGUGGAUCGUAACAGAUGAUCGGUUCUAAAACCCUAGCUGUCAAGAGAGAGAGAGAGAGAGAGAGAGAGAGAGAGAGAGAGAGAGAGAGAGAGAGAGAGAGAGAGAGAGAGAUUUUUAAUAGUUUCAAGCCAAUGACUGGAGGCUUCUAUAGCUCCGACAUCGGCUCGUUUGAUUCGUUUUGCUUUUUUGUUUCUUUGUUUUGCUUUACUUCAUGUAAUUUGUUUUUUUAUUGUCAAUUAAUUUAAAUCUGACAAAGUUUUUAUUGUUCCUUUGUAUGUUUAUUCCAAUGGAUUUGGUAAGACAAAAAAAUUUGGUUCAAUUGAACCGUUUAGAAAAGUUAAUUGACAAAUCUACUGCGGAUGGCCGAUGGGUCUUACCGGUGAUGGGUGCUUGCUGCAAACUAUGGUUACUUUGAAAGGCAACAAGACAUUCUAUUGAACAGUAGUAAUCUCUUCGAAUCUGUUAUUAUCAAUAGAACAAUAUAAAGAGUUGUCUUGUCUCGGUGACUCCUACUGGAGUAUUAAAAUGAGAGUGGUGCUUAUGGAUUAAUAUGAAGAUUAUCUUCCUUAAAAUUCAACUAUUCCAAAUGCAAUUAAAAGCAUCUCCAAUGGUGUUACCACCAUUAGAGUCCUUAUCAUUAUUAAACUACUUUUUUUUAGAAUAAUUAAGGACUCUAAUCAAAAUUGUAUGUCCAAUGGUGUUCUCCAAUUUGGAGUCCUUAAGAAUAAAAAAUAUUAAAUUUUAAAACAUGUUAAAUCUAAAAUUUUAUUUAUUACAUGAUUAAAUAUAAAGAUACAAUAAUUAUUAGUCUUCAUCACCAAAUUUGUUCCAAAUGUUUUCAAUUAAAUCAUUUUUCAAUUGUUCAUGUAUACGCCUAUCGCGAACAUGAUUCCAAAUGCCAAGCAUAUUACUGAGAUUUGAAGGCAUGUCGGUACUAUAAGACAUAUCCACCCGAGAGCUUUUUUUCCUCUUUCGUGUCGCAAAUGAUUUUUUUUUUCAAUCCGGAAUAGAUACAAGACGGCACCAAUCAGACGCGGCCACGUCUCUAAGGACUAAGUCCUUAAACCCCUUAUCUACGUUCCAGUCCUUACGAAACUUACCUUACUUAAUACUAUUUUAUUCUGAUUAAUCUAGGUUUAUGUGCUAAGGAUUGGUGAAAAAUCACCGUUACGGAUGCUUUAAGGAGCUUUUAUAUGAGAAAAAUUUAGUUAUCCAUACAAAAAAUAGAUAUGUUAGUUUAUUUUGAAUCCCUACUUGUGUAUCCUUUUUCUACAUUUGUUUUGUUAGUUCUCAUUGUUUAGAACUAUUUGCCUAGAAAGCUUAACAAUACAAUCAUGUAUAAAAAACAGAUGAUCGGUCCAUCACUUGGCAUUAGUCGGAAAUCAUUCCAAACUCGGACCAGACAGUAUAGUAAUCAGUUUACUCUUUAACACUAACUGUAUUUUUUCCGGAACUGACCGGAUCAGUCGAUAUGUAUAUCAAACAAAAAAACGUGAUUCUGUUAUUGUAUGAUUUAGACUGAACAUGUGCUCUGUUUUAAGUAAAGUUCUUAUGCUGUUUUUCGAGUUUUGUUUAUGCUAUGUUUUUGGAGUAUCUAGACUUUGACUUCAGCUUGCGUGAGCUUUAUUGAAUUUCACUUUUGAGGGAAAAAACAGUACUUACUAGCUUCCACUUUUUUUUUGUCAUCUGAAGAUUAUAUUAAACGGGGUAAACUAGCUUCCAAUUUUUUAUUACGUGUAGUUUUUACAUUUUCAGGACUAGCUUCCACAUUUUCCGUAUAUCACCACAUUUUAGAUGACAUAAGCAAUGAAUAUGGAAACGAAAAAAAUACAUUUUGGCAUGAGAAAAAUGCUUAUUUUCUGAUUGUUCUGGAAAUGAUUUUAAAAUUAAAAACCUUAAAUACAAAGUACACACAAAAAGAAUGACGAGUUCAAGAUUUCAUACAAGUACUGCAUCCCAUACUAAUGCAAAGAUAUAAAUACUUAUGAAUUAACCAAAUGGUAAUAAUUAAUUGAAUUUUCUUUAUUGCUUAUAAAAUUUAUCUCAUUUUAUAAUUUUAUGUAUACGAAAAAUAAAUAAAAAUAUUAAAAAUAAUAAUAUGGUGUUUUAUUUAUUCGUGCAAUUUUAUAUAAAAAUAUGAACGGUUCACUUAUUUAUUUUUGGUGUACAUCAAGUUGCAGCUAUUCUUCAGAGUUAAAUUAGAACUGGUUUGAGUUGUAAAUAGAUAAAAUCAGAUUAAUUUUGUUAAAAUGAAUUGUGUCCAGAUUAUUUUUUAGUUUUGUAAAAUAUGUUUUCUUAAUUGUUUUAUAUUUUCUUAUAUAGUGUUUGAGAACAGUAUGAAAAAUAAACUAAAGUGUUAUCAGUUUUUACCCAAGUUUAGUUUGGAUUAACUAAUAAUUAUCCCCAAGUUUAAUUUUAAUCGUUCAAUUUGUUAUUUAGUUUAAAGUUAGCUAUAACAUAAAAAAUAUAUGAUUGGAUCAGUGAUCAAAGAUCAAUAUAUGAUCUACUUCUAUUAUUUAUCAUAACUUUGCAUCAUUUCUAAUUAUUUGAUAUAAUAGAUAUAGUAAAAAAAUGUUAACUAUUUUAUUUGAAUAUAAUUAUAUAUUGACAUAUUUUUCUUAGGAAAUAUUUUUAAAAAAUAUAAAUUUAUGUUAUUAAAGAAACAAAUAAUAAGGGAAGUUAUUAUUUCUUAUUAUUUCAAAUAUUAUAAGUGCAAAAGGAAACAAAAAAAUAAAAUAAAAAUCUUAGUAAUGGUAUUGUCCAGAAUAUUUUUAAUUCAUUAAGGAUAAUUGUAAUUAACUAUUCUAAAAAUUAAUACGAAAGCGACACAUAAAAUUGACUUAUAAUAAUAUUAUAGAUGUUAUCUUUUAUGACACAAAGACCACAAUACAUCAGGAAUUUUUUAUGGAUUCCCAACAGUUUGUGGUUUCAAAUCGAAUCAUGAUACUUCAUUGAAAAGCCAAGACGGAUUCCAGACAGAUUUUUCUGACGAAAAAUUUUAAUACCUGAUUCCAAACACUUUGUCUUCCCCAUUCGUGUUCCCUCUCUCCCGCUCUCUCUCUCUCUCUCUCUCUCUCUCUCUCUCUCUCUCUCUCUCUCUCUCUCUCUCUCUCUCUCUCUCUCUUCUCUCUCUCUCUAAAAGCACGAAACUCUCCUUUGUUGCCAUUCUCUAUCAAAAUUGUCUCCCUCUCUCCCAAAAUCAUCUCCAUUUUUAAUGAUAUUGUUAGAUCAUGUUAAAUUGUAGAUUUUACUGAUUUGGAAAUUAAUUUUAACUAUUUACACUUUCAUAUAUAUGAUUAACUAUCUUGAUUUUACUUAUUAUUUAGAAUUUGAGAGACAAUAGAAUUUCUAAAACUGGUUUGGGAGUGUAUGUUCAGUAAUCAGUUGAUUAUGUCUUAUCAAUACUUUUUUGAACUUGUUAUAUUUGCUUAUUGUUGAAUGUUUUGUUUUUGAACCAUGAAAGGUUAUUGAAUUAAAGAUUUUUGUAUUUCGUAUAUUUAUUUGGUCAUGUAUGAUUUUAAAUUUUGUUCGGAUAAAAAAAGUACUUUUUAGGUUUUAUGCGUACUUUUUGUAAUUUGGAUAUACAUACCCAAAAAAUACCGAAUCAGUUUUUUUUUUUUAAACUUUGAAUACAAAGGAACCAAAUCGAGUCAGAAUUGAUAAUAUUGGGGUUUUCUUAAAAGCCACACCCCUACUAAUCUGAACUGAUCAGAAUCAAUUUCUUUGUGGUUCCUAUUUGACUACUAGAAGUGAAAAACUGAAUAAUCUGAAAUCUGAACUAAUCGAACUGAACACAUAUCAGAAUCAAAUGUGCGUGCCUAGAUUAAAAAAAAAAUCUCUAUGUAAAAAAAAUAUGUUUGUUUGAAAAAAAAAAGAAUUUAAAGGAAAAUAAUCAAUAACUACCAGAGAUAGUAGAAGCUUGCAUACUACUUCAAGUUUUUGACGAGCGGGAUCACCUCCACAGAAAUGUUAUCGCCAUUCGCAACAACCUCUCACAAAAAAAUGUUUAAUUUGAUAUACUUAUAAUAAUUUUGUUAUUAUGCAAAAUUUAAAUGCUAAAUAAAACUAUUGUUUUAAAAUAUAGUUGUUGAUUAUUUUGGCUCUAACAAAGCGUUAUUUUAAUUAUAUGGAAAAAGCGACAAAAUAUAAACAUUAAUGGCAUUAAUUGAGUUUCUGCAAAAUAUGAAUUACGGUUAGUUAAAAAUAUUCAAAAAUUAAUACUGGGUCAAAUAUUUAUCCUUUCUAAAACUCUAUUGAUUUUUUCUUUUCAAAUUUUUAAUUCAAAUAAUUUAGUAUAUUAUGUAAACGAAUAAAUACAAUUCAAAAAUAUAAAUAAAAGGAGAAAAAUUGUAAUGACUAACUAAUUAAAAAUUAAAAUACGAAUGCCACUGAAUUCAGUCUCCCCAAAUUUUGAUAUACCAUUUCUAAAACCGAAUCAGUUUUAUUUUUUUUUUAAACUUUGAAUACAAAGGAACCAAAUCGAGUCAGAAUUGAUAAUAUUGGGGUUUUCUUAAAAGCCACACCCCUACUAAUCUGAACUGAUCAGAAUCAAUUUCUUUGUGGUUCCUAUUUGACUACUAGAAGUGAAAAACUGAAUAAUAUGAAAUCUGAACUAAUCGAACUGAACACAUAUCAGAAUCAAAUGUGCGUGCCUAGAUUAAAAAAAAAAUCUCUAUGUAAAAAAAAUAUGUUUGUUUGAAAAAAAAAAGAAUUUAAAGGAAAAUAAUCAAUAACUACCAGAGAUAGUAGAAGCUUGCAUACUACUUCAAGUUUUUGACGAGCGGGAUCACCUCCACAGAAAUGUUAUCGCCAUUCGCAACAACCUCUCACAAAAAAAUGUUUAAUUUGAUAUACUUAUAAUAAUUUUGUUAUUAUGCAAAAUUUAAAUGCUAAAUAAAACUAUUGUUUUAAAAUAUAGUUGUUGAUUAUUUUGGCUCUAACAAAGCGUUAUUUUAAUGAUAUGGAAAAAGCGACAAAAUAUAAACAUUAAUGGCAUUAAUUGAGUUUCUGCAAAAUAUGAAUUACGGUUAGUUAAAAAUAUUCAAAAAUUAAUACUGGGUCAAAUAUUUAUCCUUUCUAAAACUCUAUUGAUUUUUUCUUUUCAAAUUUUUAAUUCAAAUAAUUUAGUAUAUUAUGUAAACGAAUAAAUACAAUUCAAAAAUAUAAAUAAAAGGAGAAAAAUUGUAAUGACUAACUAAUUAAAAAUUAAAAUACGAAUGCCACUGAAUUCAGUCUCCCCCAAAUUUUGAUAUACGAUUUCUAAAACUAAAAAUAUUUGCUUUUCAAUGUUUGAAUUCAUAUUACUUCUAUGUUUAAUAAGGUAGUAUGUAGGGAUAAUUUGCAAAAUACCCUAUAUAGGAUUUGAAAUUUAAAAAUUGCAUUUUCUAAUUUAAUUUUUUGAAAACUACACUUCUUUAAUUAUGAAUUGACUUUUUUACCCAAGAUAUUUCAAUAAUUAAGAUAUUAAUUCGAAAUUAAUAUAUAAAUUCGAAAUUAAUAAAAUAAUAUCAAAAUAAUUUUGUUUAAGAUAAACAUGUUAUUUUAUUAUUUAUAAAAACAAAGAUAAAUAUGUGAAUUAUGAUUUGUUUUGACUUUAUCAUGAAAUUUAUACAAAUUUCCUUUUAUUUUUUUUCUUCAACUUAUAUAAACAAGUCACGUUGUUAAAAGAAAAAGCAAAUCACAUUUGUCUCCUACUAUCUUUUAUUUAGUUAUAUUGAAAUUUUGUGUUCGUUGGUUUGACAUAGUAUCAUGAUGGGAGGAUGAAACUUGCGGGUGUUAAAUUGACAGAGUUUGAACCGGGAAUGGAGAUGGAAAAGGAGGGCGAGCUGCCUUUGUCGAAAGUAGCAAUUGAUGAUAUCUUCUGAUGGAACAGGUUAAGUAGGAAAAAUACAUUAACAAAUGAGCAGUCUCAUCAUUCAAAAUUCAAGUUCUUUUAUCUUAUCAUUCCGCCAUUGCUCCUCAGUUACUUCCUAGUCACCUAACACACAAGUUCCACGUUUAUGAGGUUUUUGCAGUUGAGAGACUAGUACUAGUCACAAUAGUAACAAUACUAAAUAUUGCAGGACUUAUCCUGUGUCAACAUGACAUUGUAGUCCCUGAUUGUUACAACAUUUAUAAACUCCAAUAUUCACAUGAUUGUUUUCACACCUCCUUGAAGUCUUGUGUUUUUGUGCGUGAAUCUUCUCCACGUCUUCUUCGGUUGUCUCUACAACCGGAUAAUGCCUCCUUUCACUCAUAGGUAAGCAUAUCCUUCUUGUGGGUCUUAUACUCUCUGAAUAUGCAGCACACAUGUUUGCCUUUGAGUAGUAUUGAUGCAUCUUAUAAGUGUAACAAUCUCUUAGGUUAUAGUUUAACUACACCACCAUGCUGUCUUUUUGACUACUACUGUCUAGUUUCUACCAAAUCUAUGUUUUUAACUUCUUUAAAGGGUAACAAGUGUUGCAGAGACAAACGGUCUUGGACAAAGUAGGAGCUAAAGAAAUACAAAACAAAAAGUAGGAGCUAAAGAGUUCUCUCAUGGGAUCAAUCAGAUAAUAGUAUGGAACUAGAACGAGCAUUUACAAAUUUUGUGGUCUGCAAUUUCAGAGUCCAUCUACCGCAUAAACGACACUUGCGUCGAACUUGAACAGAAGCAGAGUUCUUCAAAAGGUGUAGAACAAAUGGAAAACAUAACAAAUGUUGUGAAAAUAAUCAACCUUAUUACAAAAUAAAACCAAAACAAUUACCAAAACCUAGAGUAACCAAAACCAAACAUUGCAAAAAAAAAUAUUGAUUUUUUCUUUUCAAAUUUUUAAUUCAAAUAAUUUAGUAUAUUAUGUAAACGAAUAAAUACAAUUCAAAAAUAUAAAUAAAAGGAGAAAAAUUGUAAUGACUAACUAAUUAAAAAUUAAAAUACGAAUGCCACUGAAUUCAGUCUCCCCAAAUUUUGAUAUACCAUUUCUAAAACCGAAUCAGUUUUAUUUUUUUUUUAAACUUUGAAUACAAAGGAACCAAAUCGAGUCAGAAUUGAUAAUAUUGGGGUUUUCUUAAAAGCCACACCCCUACUAAUCUGAACUGAUCAGAAUCAAUUUCUUUGUGGUUCCUAUUUGACUACUAGAAGUGAAAAACUGAAUAAUAUGAAAUCUGAACUAAUCGAACUGAACACAUAUCAGAAUCAAAUGUGCGUGCCUAGAUUAAAAAAAAAAUCUCUAUGUAAAAAAAAUAUGUUUGUUUGAAAAAAAAAAGAAUUUAAAGGAAAAUAAUCAAUAACUACCAGAGAUAGUAGAAGCUUGCAUACUACUUCAAGUUUUUGACGAGCGGGAUCACCUCCACAGAAAUGUUAUCGCCAUUCGCAACAACCUCUCACAAAAAAAUGUUUAAUUUGAUAUACUUAUAAUAAUUUUGUUAUUAUGCAAAAUUUAAAUGCUAAAUAAAACUAUUGUUUUAAAAUAUAGUUGUUGAUUAUUUUGGCUCUAACAAAGCGUUAUUUUAAUUAUAUGGAAAAAGCGACAAAAUAUAAACAUUAAUGGCAUUAAUUGAGUUUCUGCAAAAUAUGAAUUACGGUUAGUUAAAAAUAUUCAAAAAUUAAUACUGGGUCAAAUAUUUAUCCUUUCUAAAACUCUAUUGAUUUUUUCUUUUCAAAUUUUUAAUUCAAAUAAUUUAGUAUAUUAUGUAAACGAAUAAAUACAAUUCAAAAAUAUAAAUAAAAGGAGAAAAAUUGUAAUGACUAACUAAUUAAAAAUUAAAAUACGAAUGCCACUGAAUUCAGUCUCCCCAAAUUUUGAUAUACCAUUUCUAAAACCGAAUCAGUUUUAUUUUUUUUUUAAACUUUGAAUACAAAGGAACCAAAUCGAGUCAGAAUUGAUAAUAUUGGGGUUUUCUUAAAAGCCACACCCCUACUAAUCUGAACUGAUCAGAAUCAAUUUCUUUGUGGUUCCUAUUUGACUACUAGAAGUGAAAAACUGAAUAAUAUGAAAUCUGAACUAAUCGAACUGAACACAUAUCAGAAUCAAAUGUGCGUGCCUAGAUUAAAAAAAAAAUCUCUAUGUAAAAAAAAUAUGUUUGUUUGAAAAAAAAAAGAAUUUAAAGGAAAAUAAUCAAUAACUACCAGAGAUAGUAGAAGCUUGCAUACUACUUCAAGUUUUUGACGAGCGGGAUCACCUCCACAGAAAUGUUAUCGCCAUUCGCAACAACCUCUCACAAAAAAAUGUUUAAUUUGAUAUACUUAUAAUAAUUUUGUUAUUAUGCAAAAUUUAAAUGCUAAAUAAAACUAUUGUUUUAAAAUAUAGUUGUUGAUUAUUUUGGCUCUAACAAAGCGUUAUUUUAAUUAUAUGGAAAAAGCGACAAAAUAUAAACAUUAAUGGCAUUAAUUGAGUUUCUGCAAAAUAUGAAUUACGGUUAGUUAAAAAUAUUCAAAAAUUAAUACUGGGUCAAAUAUUUAUCCUUUCUAAAACUCUAUUGAUUUUUUCUUUUCAAAUUUUUAAUUCAAAUAAUUUAGUAUAUUAUGUAAACGAAUAAAUACAAUUCAAAAAUAUAAAUAAAAGGAGAAAAAUUGUAAUGACUAACUAAUUAAAAAUUAAAAUACGAAUGCCACUGAAUUCAGUCUCCCCAAAUUUUGAUAUACCAUUUCUAAAACCGAAUCAGUUUUAUUUUUUUUUUAAACUUUGAAUACAAAGGAACCAAAUCGAGUCAGAAUUGAUAAUAUUGGGGUUUUCUUAAAAGCCACACCCCUACUAAUCUGAACUGAUCAGAAUCAAUUUCUUUGUGGUUCCUAUUUGACUACUAGAAGUGAAAAACUGAAUAAUAUGAAAUCUGAACUAAUCGAACUGAACACAUAUCAGAAUCAAAUGUGCGUGCCUAGAUUAAAAAAAAAAUCUCUAUGUAAAAAAAAUAUGUUUGUUUGAAAAAAAAAAGAAUUUAAAGGAAAAUAAUCAAUAACUACCAGAGAUAGUAGAAGCUUGCAUACUACUUCAAGUUUUUGACGAGCGGGAUCACCUCCACAGAAAUGUUAUCGCCAUUCGCAACAACCUCUCACAAAAAAAUGUUUAAUUUGAUAUACUUAUAAUAAUUUUGUUAUUAUGCAAAAUUUAAAUGCUAAAUAAAACUAUUGUUUUAAAAUAUAGUUGUUGAUUAUUUUGGCUCUAACAAAGCGUUAUUUUAAUUAUAUGGAAAAAGCGACAAAAUAUAAACAUUAAUGGCAUUAAUUGAGUUUCUGCAAAAUAUGAAUUACGGUUAGUUAAAAAUAUUCAAAAAUUAAUACUGGGUCAAAUAUUUAUCCUUUCUAAAACUCUAUUGAUUUUUUCUUUUCAAAUUUUUAAUUCAAAUAAUUUAGUAUAUUAUGUAAACGAAUAAAUACAAUUCAAAAAUAUAAAUAAAAGGAGAAAAAUUGUAAUGACUAACUAAUUAAAAAUUAAAAUACGAAUGCCACUGAAUUCAGUCUCCCCAAAUUUUGAUAUACCAUUUCUAAAACCGAAUCAGUUUUAUUUUUUUUUUAAACUUUGAAUACAAAGGAACCAAAUCGAGUCAGAAUUGAUAAUAUUGGGGUUUUCUUAAAAGCCACACCCCUACUAAUCUGAACUGAUCAGAAUCAAUUUCUUUGUGGUUCCUAUUUGACUACUAGAAGUGAAAAACUGAAUAAUAUGAAAUCUGAACUAAUCGAACUGAACACAUAUCAGAAUCAAAUGUGCGUGCCUAGAUUAAAAAAAAAAUCUCUAUGUAAAAAAAAUAUGUUUGUUUGAAAAAAAAAAGAAUUUAAAGGAAAAUAAUCAAUAACUACCAGAGAUAGUAGAAGCUUGCAUACUACUUCAAGUUUUUGACGAGCGGGAUCACCUCCACAGAAAUGUUAUCGCCAUUCGCAACAACCUCUCACAAAAAAAUGUUUAAUUUGAUAUACUUAUAAUAAUUUUGUUAUUAUGCAAAAUUUAAAUGCUAAAUAAAACUAUUGUUUUAAAAUAUAGUUGUUGAUUAUUUUGGCUCUAACAAAGCGUUAUUUUAAUGAUAUGGAAAAAGCGACAAAAUAUAAACAUUAAUGGCAUUAAUUGAGUUUCUGCAAAAUAUGAAUUACGGUUAGUUAAAAAUAUUCAAAAAUUAAUACUGGGUCAAAUAUUUAUCCUUUCUAAAACUCUAUUGAUUUUUUCUUUUCAAAUUUUUAAUUCAAAUAAUUUAGUAUAUUAUGUAAACGAAUAAAUACAAUUCAAAAAUAUAAAUAAAAGGAGAAAAAUUGUAAUGACUAACUAAUUAAAAAUUAAAAUACGAAUGCCACUGAAUUCAGUCUCCCCCAAAUUUUGAUAUACGAUUUCUAAAACUAAAAAUAUUUGCUUUUCAAUGUUUGAAUUCAUAUUACUUCUAUGUUUAAUAAGGUAGUAUGUAGGGAUAAUUUGCAAAAUACCCUAUAUAGGAUUUGAAAUUUAAAAAUUGCAUUUUCUAAUUUAAUUUUUUGAAAACUACACUUCUUUAAUUAUGAAUUGACUUUUUUACCCAAGAUAUUUCAAUAAUUAAGAUAUUAAUUCGAAAUUAAUAUAUAAAUUCGAAAUUAAUAAAAUAAUAUCAAAAUAAUUUUGUUUAAGAUAAACAUGUUAUUUUAUUAUUUAUAAAAACAAAGAUAAAUAUGUGAAUUAUGAUUUGUUUUGACUUUAUCAUGAAAUUUAUACAAAUUUCCUUUUAUUUUUUUUCUUCAACUUAUAUAAACAAGUCACGUUGUUAAAAGAAAAAGCAAAUCACAUUUGUCUCCUACUAUCUUUUAUUUAGUUAUAUUGAAAUUUUGUGUUCGUUGGUUUGACAUAGUAUCAUGAUGGGAGGAUGAAACUUGCGGGUGUUAAAUUGACAGAGUUUGAACCGGGAAUGGAGAUGGAAAAGGAGGGCGAGCUGCCUUUGUCGAAAGUAGCAAUUGAUGAUAUCUUCUGAUGGAACAGGUUAAGUAGGAAAAAUACAUUAACAAAUGAGCAGUCUCAUCAUUCAAAAUUCAAGUUCUUUUAUCUUAUCAUUCUGCCAUUGCUCCUCAGUUACUUCCUAGUCACCUAACACACAAGUUCCACGUUUAUGAGGUUUUUGCAGUUGAGAGACUAGUACUAGUCACAAUAGUAACAAUACUAAAUAUUGCAGGACUUAUCCUGUGUCAACAUGACAUUGUAGUCCCUGAUUGUUACAACAUUUAUAAACUCCAAUAUUCACAUGAUUGUUUUCACACCUCCUUGAAGUCUUGUGUUGUUGUGCGUGAAUCUUCUCCACGUCUUCUUCGGUUGUCUCUACAACCGGAUAAUGCCUCCUUUCACUCAUAGGUAAGCAUCUCCUUCUUGUGCCGAGUAGCCUUGCUCUGUUUCUUCCAACAUGCGGCCUCUCCCGUGUAGUCGUCUUUAACAAAAGACUCCACACCACUCUCGUUAAUGAGCCAGGGGUUAUGCGUUUAUCUUCUCUAUGGCGGGGAGUUUCAGUUAUAAGUGUAACAAUCUCUUAGGUUAUAGUUUAACUACACCACCAUGCUGUCUUUUUGACUACUACUGUCUAGUUUCUACCAAAUCUAUGUUUUUAACUUCUUUAAAGGGUAACAAGUGUUGCAGAGACAAACGGUCUUGGACAAAGUAGGAGCUAAAGAAAUACAAAACAAAAAGUAGGAGCUAAAGAGUUCUCUCAUGGGAUCAAUCAGAUAAUAGUAUGGAACUAGAACGAGCAUUUACAAAUUUUGUGGUCUGCAAUUUCAGAGUCCAUCUACCGCAUAAACGACACUUGCGUCGAACUUGAACAGAAGCAGAGUUCUUCAAAAGGUGUAGAACAAAUGGAAAACAUAACAAAUGUUGUGAAAAUAAUCAACCUUAUUACAAAAUAAAAACUAAAACAAUUACCAAAACCUAGAGUAACCAAAACCAAACAUUGCAAAAAAAAAAUCUAGAACAAACGUCUAGAACAGAACAAACUUCAAAUUCCAAAGUCGCAACUGACACGAUUGUGUCCUGAACGAUGACAUCUUGAGCAAGCUUGUUUUCGUGCUUUUUUUUUUGAGCUGUUGCUUGUUCUCCAAAGCAUUCAUAUCUUCUUUUCACAGGUCUUCCAGCACCUCUUUUAACAUCUGGUGGAAGACAUUUAUAAGCAACAAUAUGAGGAGGUAUUUCCUUCACGUCAUGCAGCUCAUCUAUAGGUCUUAUACUCUCUGAAUAUGCAGCACACAUGUUUGCCUUUGAGUAGUACUGAUGCACAAAUAACCCAGGGUUCAAGCCUCGACUUGUUGCAGCCUUAGCAGCAUGCUUACAAGGGAUCUUGUCAACGUUAAACACAUUACAUGUGCAAGUCAUUUGUUGAAGAUCAACCAAGUAAUUUCUUGACCCAUCAGUAACCUGAAACUCAUGUUGAUUUAUUGACUGAACAUCAAAAGUAGACGCCAAAUCACACCUUCUAUUGAGCUUCUUUUCAACUUUAGGCGUGAGAGAAGAUUUGAGCAUCACAGCACUUUCUCGAUGGUUGAAAAAUCACCGUGUAAGCAGAAUUAGAAAUUGAAAUCUGAUUGAUGAAUCAACAAAUCUCUUGAGCUGAGAGGAAGAAUCUGUAAAACUAGAGAGAAAGGAAAAAAAAUUCAGAAAUUGAAUGGAUAUGAGAAGAAGACGAGAAGACGAGACUAGUCUUGCGUUCUUUAAUUUUUUUUCAAAAUAAAAAAAUAAACUUAAGAUAUAUUAAAAAUAUAUGGGAAAUAUAUUGUGUAGUAUAUUAAAAAGAUAUUCCCUAUUCUCUAACGAUUUUCUUUUAAAAUAAUUUUAUAAAAAAUUGUUUAAUAGGAAUUGAUAAAUAUUAAGAUUGGGCAAUUUGGUAAAUUUAUAUAUAGAUAAGUGUAUUUUUCAGAAAGGUUAAACAAAAGUGCAUUUUUCAAAUUAUAUUUUAUUGAAGUGCAUUUAUCCAAAUUUUCCCUAGUAUUAAUUUAGUUGUGGUCAAUACUCAAUAGGAUAUUACAGUAUAUGUAAGGACGAUAGUGAAGUAACUCCAAAAAAAUACUCCCUCCAGAUUUGAAUAUAUGAUGUUUAAGGUUGUGCACACAUAUUAAGAGAAAUUAAAUACUUACUUUUAUCAAAUACUUUUGGGUUUUGCUUUUAGUUAGUUUAAAGAUUUAUUUGAAUCCCAAUAAAAUUCAACCACUUAUAUUUUUUACAUUUUGAUUUAUAUUUUAUUUUAAAAACAAAAUGCAUUAAUGAAAAGUAGAACUCUUGUCAACAUUAAACACAUUACAUGUGCAAGUCAUUUGUUGAAGAUCAACCAAGUAAUUUCUUGACCCAUCAGUAACCUGAAACUCAUGUUGAUUUAUUGACUGAACAUCAAAAGUAGACGCCAAAUCACACCUUCUAUUGAGCUUCUUUUCAACUUUAGGCGUGAGAGAAGAUUUGAGCAUCACAGCACUUUCUCGAUGGUUGAAAAAUCACCGUGUAAGCAGAAUUAGAAAUUGAAAUCUGAUUGAUGAAUCAACAAAUCUCUUGAGCUGAGAGGAAGAAUCUGUAAAACUAGAGAGAAAGGAAAAAAAAUUCAGAAAUUGAAUGGAUAUGAGAAGAAGACGAGAAGACGAGACUAGUCUUGCGUUCUUUAAUUUUUUUUCAAAAUAAAAAAAUAAACUUAAGAUAUAUUAAAAAUAUAUGGGAAAUAUAUUGUGUAGUAUAUUAAAAAGAUAUUCCCUAUUCUCUAACGAUUUUCUUUUAAAAUAAUUUUAUAAAAAAUUGUUUAAUAGGAAUUGAUAAAUAUUAAGAUUGGGCAAUUUGGUAAAUUUAUAUAUAGAUAAGUGUAUUUUUCAGAAAGGUUAAACAAAAGUGCAUUUUUCAAAUUAUAUUUUAUUGAAGUGCAUUUAUCCAAAUUUUCCCUAGUAUUAAUUUAGUUGUGGUCAAUACUCAAUAGGAUAUUACAGUAUAUGUAAGGACGAUAGUGAAGUAACUCCAAAAAAAUACUCCCUCCAGAUUUGAAUAUAUGAUGUUUAAGGUUGUGCACACAUAUUAAGAGAAAUUAAAUACUUACUUUUAUCAAAUACUUUUGGGUUUUGCUUUUAGUUAGUUUAAAGAUUUAUUUGAAUCCCAAUAAAAUUCAACCACUUAUAUUUUUUACAUUUUGAUUUAUAUUUUAUUUUAAAAACAAAAUGCAUUAAUGAAAAGUAGAACAUUAUGGGGAUGAUUGGUUGGGGCUGUAGAUGCUCUGGACAGCCAAAAUUUAGUCUACAGCUAUAUAUCUCAACCAAUCGAGCUUUGCUUUCCUUAAAAAGCUCACAGCAAAAUAAUCUCUGCAAAAUCAAAAUAUGGCUGUAGAGAGCUUUAUUUCCAGAGCAAAAAAAUAGUGCUUUAGAAAUCUACAGCAAGGAAAGCUACAGCAAAUAAAUCUACAGAUUAAAUUCUACAGCAAAAAAUAUAAAGCUACAGCACUUACCAAUCAUCCCCUAUACAUUUGUAUACAAGGGAAAAAACUAAAACAUCAUAUAUUCAAAUCGGGAGGGAGUAGUAAAGAGCAUUCAGUACUCUCUCUCUCUCUCUCAUAAAAACACAGCCAAUGACCUUCUCGUGGUCUUCUGUGCCAUAAAAAUCAUUAUAUACAUUCAAACACCAAUCUGGCGCCACACACACAUACUCUCUUCCUCUCUCUCCUUGUAUGAGUGGUGAGAUGGUUAUCCCUAUAAGGUGCAGCAUCGAACCAUCUGCAACAUUUUUACUCGUUUUCUUUUUGUGUGUUUUCCAGCAAGUGUCUCUUCUUCACUCUCCCCAACGACCCUCUCUUCCAUUCAUAACUCUUUCUCUCUCCGGGCAAAAUGGAUAACUUCUUGCCCUUUUCCUCUUCUAACGCAAACUUUGUCCAAGAACUCUCAAUGGAUCUUAACAACAAUCGCUCACGCUUAUCAACGUUCCCUACUUAUGAUCAUCAUCAUCAGGCGCAGCCUCACUCGUUGCAACCCUACUCAUAUGUUGCAUGUCCUGUGGAUCAGACGGCGGCUAUGAAUCCUCAGAUCCCGGUUACACAAACCGGAAGUGAGUUCGGUUCUCUGGUUUGUAAUCCCGGUUUCGGACAAGCAAGAGGUGGAUUUCUUGAUCCACACACGGCUAAGAUGGCCAGGAUCAACAGAAAGAAAGCGAUGAUAAGAUCAAGAAACAAUUCUAGCCCUAACUCUAGUUCGAAUGAGCUGGUUGGUUCAAGGAGACAAGUGGUUCUUACCAUGAAAAAUAAUGCCGAGAUAGCAGCAAGGAAAGAUCUCUAUCGAUAUCCCUCAUUCGAUAACAAGGUUUGUUCCAAAUAUUAGAUAUUUUCGAUUUUAUAUAUAUAUAAAACUUGAUCAAACGUUUUGGAUUUUGUGGUUGACUGUAGAAGCUUAGGGUUUUGUUGGUGAAACACUUGAAGAACAGCGAUGUUGGAUCACUUGGGAGGAUACUUCUACCAAAGGUGUGUAAAUUCUUACAAUUCUUUUAUCCAUCGUUUUCGUUAAGGUGUAAAGAUAAAAUAAAUUUUAUAGGUAAAACAUUAAUAUGAAAUAGUUAACUUUAAUAUGAAAUAGUUAUCAAUCACGUAACUACGAAAUUUGAAACCUCAAUUCCAUGGAAAAGUUUUAGAAAAGUAAUAUGGUUUCAGGAUUUGGCUGGCCCCUUUUUCAAAGAAGGUUUGUGGAACAAAAGUACAUAAGUCAUUGCGGCCACAAACUCUCAUUAAGAAAUUUCACUGAGAUUUUUUCUAACAUUUCAUUCCAUUUUUAAAAUAUAGUAGUAGUAUAUUUAGCGAUUUCGUGGUUUAACCAAUUACAAGUUCAGUCUCUAAAAACAACACGGAAAACAAGGGGAAUGUGAAACAUGACAACAAAAUGUAGAAUGUAGUAAAGUUGUUUAUAGUAUUUGUGUUUGUUCAAGUACGAAUUUUUAUGACAUUUUUAUAGAUUUUUAGUUUAGGAAGAAUAUGGAUUGUUUGUAAAUUCUAACUAAGCUGAUUUAUUUAAAGAUAUCUGGAGUUUGAAGGAUUAACAAAUUCUUCAAGUUUUGGAGUGAAAAAAUCUAAAUAGAUUCAAUAUAGUUUCCUUUUUGUAACCAAUAAGGAAAAGACAUGAGUGAUAGAACAUGAGAAAUAAUCAAUUUUAUUCUACUACUAGAUAAAGUGAAACUGUUUAUAUGAAUUUAUUCCAAAAUGAUGCUGAAGAAAAAUAAAGUCGUCUAUUUGCCUUUCCUAAUUAAUUGACUCUUAAAUGGUAUACCUCGAAAUCAUUAUGGGAAAGUAUCAAGAAACAAAAAAAAACAAUUUGGAAAAGAGGUUCAACGAUAUUUACUUGAUACUGACUGAAACAAAUUAUAAUUGUCUGUUAUCUGUCUUAAUUAAAACAGUAAGAAAGUCAUUUUUCGAUAAGAAAAGUCAUUAAAUAAUCCCUUAAAUAAGUCAUGGCUUUGGAACGCAGAGAGAAGCUGAAGGGAAUCUUCCGGAGCUAUCUACUAAAGAAGGAAUGAUAGUAGACAUGAGAGAUGCGGACUCUAUGCAGAAUUGGUCUUUCAAAUACAAGUUAAGUCUCGUUUUCAUCUCUUAUAUGAACUCAAUUAUAUUCACAAAAGCAAUUUAUUAAUCGUUUUAUUUUACCAAUGGGUUAUAACAAUCUUUUAAGCUCACUUUUUGAUGAUUUCAAGUUAGAAUUUUUAUCAAUGUCAAUUUAAUGUCAUACUUAAAAAAGCUUGUAUCACUGUGAACAUAGGUUCUGGUCCAAUAACAAGAGCAGAAUGUAUGUCCUUGAAAACACAGGUAAUUAAGGAGCUACUAUAUUCUUUUUAAAGUAUACUACUUAUUUAAACUAUUUUAUUAUAAUACGUUUUUCCUUUUGUCUUAAAAAUUAAAGGACAAUUUGUGACUGAAAAAAGAGUUGAGAUUGGAGAUUUUUUAACAAUCUACGAGGACGAAAGCAAGAAUCUCGUGAGCUCUCUUAUUAACUCUCUUUUCUUGUUUUAUUUUAAAAAAGACAAAACUCUAAAAUAAACUAAUAAUGAUUGAUUAGCAGUCCGAAAUUGGAAAUUUAAAAAGUGAGCCAUUAAAUUGUGUUUGUUAAGCAUCUAGACAAAAACUUAUUGCCUUUUUGACCUUUUCUGUCGAUGAUAGCUGUCCGUAUAAGGAAGGUACUAUAAGAAUUUCAAACCUUAGUUUUAAUAUACUACUGAAAAUCGAUUCUUUAUUCUUUUCUUUUUUUUGCUAAACUGAAAAUUAAAGACAUGAUAUAUUCUUUCAAAAAAAGAUGUGAAAUAUAUGAGGGUGACUAGUAUUAAUUUAAAUUUUAUGUUUAAUAAAAUGCUUCUUCUAUUUACUCAUAUUUUUAUUCUACUAUUUUGCUAAGUAGGGAGUGAUGUAAUAUGUUUUUCUCUAGAAAAGUUGUUCUUUUUAUCAGCCAAUUUGUUUGGUUUGACUACAUAAACUCUUUGUUGACAAAAAAAAAGCCUACAUAAACUCUUCCAAAUUAACAAACUGUUUUUAGGAUUUGAUUUCAUAUCAGAAAUAAUUUCUUUUAGAAAAAUAUUAUUUUUAUUUAUCUAAAUUUUUUCAAUUUUGAAGAUAAUUUAUUUCUCCAUUAUUUUCGACAAAGUUCAAAUUUAAUAAAAAUAUUUAGUAUACUAUUUUCUAGUUAUCCUCACAAAAUACUUUUUAUUAGCAUAAUAAUAUAAUGUGCAAAAUUUAGUUCAUACGUACUUGAAUUUUAUAACUAAGACAAAUUGUUUUGUAAUUAGAAACCUGUAAAUGACAUAUUGGCAUUUAACUGAGUAGGAGUAGUGUUUUGGUUCAAAAACAUGGAACUUAUUUACUACUCUACAGUUUUUCAUAGGUUAUUUAAUUUUCCUUUGGAUAUUAAAUAAUCUAAUAUUUAUAAUAUUUAAAUCUCCUAACUUUUUCAGUUGUUAAUCAUUUAUAAAUUCAGCCAAUUGCUAAGACACCUUAAAGCAUGAUUAACCUCGGUUUUUUAGCCGGGAUUCUUAACUCAUGAUUUGACAUUUUUUUAUAUAUUUUUUGGUUAAGAAACAGUUUUUUUAUCUCUUAUUUAAGAGACGGUUCUUAGCUAUUCUUAGUUAAAAUCUAAAAAAAGUUAAGAAUCGUCUCUUAUCCAAAAUUAAGAACCCCAGUUAAAAGACUGGAGUUAAUCAUGGUCUUAUAUAUGCAUGUUUUGUUUGUUUGGUCUUACUGCAGUACUUCUCCAUAAGAAAGCACGCAGACAAACCAAAUGAAGGAAGAGAAGAUGAGUCGAUGGAAGCCAACGACAUGAACUUCUACGAAGAUAUUGCGUUUGAUUUCAUACCAAAAGAUGAAGACGAAGAUUCUAUUGCAAUGCUCAUCGGAAAUCUAAAUGAUCACUAUCCCAACCCAAACAAUCGUAUGGACCUCCCAAUCGAUCUUCAUCAGCAUCAUCAAGCCACCUCAUUGCCACCUGCGGAUUACAUGACCAAUCCUCAGUAUGGUGGUUCCUCCAAUGAUCUCAUGAGCUUUAACGACUUCGUAUGGUGAUGCGAUUGAAGUUGAUAUAGCUAUAUAGAAGUGGUAUAAAAAAUUUAAAAAGAAAAGAUUAUCGCUCAUCAUAUUCAUAUCUAUCUAUUGAUAAAGUAUUUUUGUCAAUCUAUUAUUUAUGAAAAAUAAUAUUAGUUACAUAUAUAAGUUUCAUUUGGGUUUUAUAAAGCAUAAGAGAUAAUAGACGAAAAUAUAAUUCAGGAAUUAAAAAAAAAACAAUAUUUGGGUUCAUCCCUAAGAUGAAUGGUUAAAUUUACCUCACUUUUUAUAAUCAACCAAAGUGCCAUGUAAAAUUAAUUAAAAAGACAAUAAUUUUUUAAAAAAAAAUGGCUGAAAAAAUCAGCACUGACAUUAACACCGUCUACAAAACCCGAAAUCUAAAAUCUAAACCUUAAACCUUAAAUCUUAAACUCUAAUUCCUAAACCUAAAAAAACUUUAAACCAUAAACCCUAAAUACUAAAUACUAAACUCUAAACCCAAAAUCUUGAACUCUAAACCCAAAGCUCUAAACCAUAAAUCCUAAACCAUCAAUCCUAAACCUUAAACUCUAAACCAUAAAUCCUAAACCCUAAACCCAAAACUCUAAACUAUAAAUUCGAACCCUGAUCAAGUGAUGGAUUUAGGGUUUAAUUUAGAGUUGUGUUUUUUGGGUUUAGGGUUUAGGAUUUAGGAUUUAGGGUUAGGUUUUUGGGUUUAGGGUUUAAGAUUUUGGGUUUAGAGUUUAGGGUUAAGAGUUUUGGAUUUAGAGUUUAGGAUUUAGAGUUUUGGGUUUAGGAUUUGGGGUUUAAAGUUUAGGUUUUAGGUUUAGGGUUUAGAUUUUUGAUUUUUAAAGUUUCGGGUUUUGCAGACGGCUUUAACGUUGGUGUUAUUUUUCUCAGCCACUUUUUUUUUUAAUUAAUCGUGCAUGACAAUUUGGUUGGUUAGGUGAAUUUAACUAUUCACUAGGCCUGGGCAUUCGGGUCCUCGGGUCGGGUUCGGGUCGGGUCGUCUCGGGUCCGGGUCCUUCAGGUCUUAGAGUUUAGGACCCGAUAGGAUAAUUUGAAAAUUUCGGUUUCGGAUCGGUUCGGGUAAAGGAUAUAGGAACCGGUAAUACCCAAGUAUUUUCGGGUCAUACAACUUUUCGGGUCGGUUCUCGGGUUUUCGGGUCUUUUAAGGAUUUUCGGGUAUUUUUAAUGGUUUACGGGUCGGUUUUCUUCAUUCUCGGUUUGGGUUUGUAAUAUUCGGGUCCAUAAUACCCUAUAUACCUGAGCUUUACCCUAUAUUUCUGUAAAAACCUGAAAUGAAUUGUUAUGUAAAAAAGUUUAAAACGAGCAAUAAGAUUAAUGAUUCUAAUCUUUCUAUGACAAUUUUCAAACUUCAUACUUCAUUAAAAACAACAAAUUCAUAACAAUACCACAACUUAGUAGCAGAAUGACAAUAUAAAGUUUUACCAUAAGAAGUUUUAAACAUGAUGAGUGCAAAUUCAAAAACAAAAACAACAACAACAAACCAACAACAUUCAAUAGUCUCAGUCUCGAACUUUUGACUCUUCUACCAGCAACAUUCAACCUUGAAACACAGGUUCAAAUUCUGUAACAAAAAGAUCAAUGCAACAAGUCAAUACCAAAAUACAAAACAUAAUGCCAUACGAAUUAAAGAGUUUAAAAACCAGAAUUAUACCUCUCAUAAGAUCAUCUUGCUCCUCUAUCAGCUUAAGCAUUUGUUCCUUUCCUUUGAUUCCUUUUUUUUGACUCUAAUCUCGCAUUUGAGCCACUGCUCCGUGCACAUUAGUACUUCAAUCAUAAAAUGCGUCAAACAGCUUCUGCUUGGGUCUAAAAUUCGUCCACUGGUGCUGAAGGCAGAUUCAGAUGCAACUGAACUCACUCAUUGAAGUAGUCGUUGUAGGGCUUGUCCUCAGCUUCCAUCUUCUCAAAAGCCACCUUGAACUUUAAUGCUUGCUCUAGCAUCAAAUUGGUCGCAUUCCACCUAGUUUUCACAUCCAAAGGUAAGCUUCCUCUCUGAAGUCUUCCUGACUCUACAUGUCGCUCAAAAGAAAUCUGCCUCUGAGUUGAAGACCUCACAAAAUAAAUGGCAUUACGAAUGGCAUUGACACUGCUCUCUAUCUCCAGCAAACCCUCUUUAACAAUCAGAUUGAGAAUGUGAGUAGCACACCUAAAAUGCAGAAACUUUCCAUCUAGAACCAAUGCAUCAGCGCCAUUUUUCUCAAUAAAAGCUUCAGAAAACUUUCUCAAUGCAGAAGUAUUAGCUGUGGCAUUAUCUACAGUUAUGCCAUACACCCUUUUGAUAUCCCAUUCCUCUAAGCAAUCAAGAAGUACCUUAUAAUCCAGAAAAAAAAACAAGAAUCAAAAUCGGGUUACAUAACAACAACAUGGACGUUAUCAACUUAAUAAAAAACAGAAACAAGCGAUAAAUUCAGUUUAAAAAAUUCAGUUAAAUCCAAUGAGCAAGAGAUAAAUUCAGUUAAAAAACUCAGUUAAAUCCAUUGAGCAAGAGAUAAAUUCAGCUAAAACAAUUAAAUCCAAUGAGCAAGAGAUAGAUUCAGCUAAAAAAAAUUAUAUCCAAGAAGUACCUUAGAUAUUGUUGAUCCUUUGUGAUCAUACACAUUCUUGAAUCCAAUGAUGAGUUUCCUCAAAUGCCACGAGCUGUCUACAAAAUGUGCCGUAAUGACCAUGUAGCUGGCACCGGUAUGAGGAGCAUUCCAAAUAUCAGUCGUCAGUGACAGCCGUUGAUUGUUCUCCUUCAGAAUCUUCUUCAUUGCCUCUUUCUUUUGCACAAAGGUCUCAACAAUAUCUCGGGUUGCUGUUCUUCUAGAAUGAGGCACGUACAACUUAGUCUUGUUGCAGAAGUUCCUCCAAGCUACGCUCUCCACCCAAGAUAAAGGCAACUCUCCCACAACCAUCAUCUCAUUUGUCUCGUGUCUGAAGACAGAUUCAGAUACUCUGCACACUCUGACGUUACCAUCUUCUUCGACAUCUAAAGCAUCUUGAGUAUUAUCUUUGUUCACAGCUAACCAUGCUUGGUAAGCCUUGCACGCAAGAUUCACAUGUUUCUUCAAGCUUGUUGUUCCUGAUCUUGUUGCACAUGCCAUCUCUUUCCCACAAUAGUUGCAGAUGGCUCUAUCAUUGUCUUCUCUCUUUCUAGUAAAGUGUUCCCAAACCUUUGACGUCCUCUUCUUUUCUGACCUUGAGCCACUGCAGUUUUCGGUUUUCUUUCGUUUUCCUUUGUUACGAGAGAUUGGAGUCUCAAUUUCAUCUUCUGAUAUAUCUACUGGUGGAUCAUCACCACAAGAUGCCAUCUGCAUUAUAGACAAAACAAAAAUCAAACUCGGAUUAUGUAACAACAACAACGACAUGUUCUAAUAAUAAACAGAAGUUACAGAACACAAGACUACAAGAGUCAAGAGAAAUAAACAUUGAGUUUAAUCAAACAUUGAGGUUUAAUCAAACAUUGAAGAUCAAGAUCAGAGGAACAGAAACAGAAGAGAUAAAUACAGUUUAAAAAACUAUAAACAAGAAUCAAGCUUGGGUUUAAUCAACAAGAAUCGAUACCAUAAACAAGAACCAAACUCGGAUUAAAACAAAAGCCAUAAACAAAAUCGAGACUUACCCUGCUUUGAUUUGUAGACAAUGCUGUCGCUGAUGAAGAAGUGGGUAGGGUUAGGGGGUUUCGAAGGAGAACUUGAUUAUGAUGAGAUUCCAGUUUGAUAAUGUUUGUUGAUUUCGGAUUUAUAUGUUGAUAGAUCAAUAAAGUAGCGACUCUUCGAUUCAAUUUUUUUUAGGGGAGUGGAACGAUGUAGGAGGAGGUGUUGCUGCAUCGGGGAAGCCGGGAAGAGAAGAGAUAGAUGUAGGCUGGUUUAGAUAGAUGUAGGCUGGUUUAGGUUUGGUUUAGGGAAUUGAUUCGGGUCUAAAAUUAACCCUAUCGGAUAUAGGGUACGGUUCGGGUAGGGUACUCUACCCGCGGGUCCGUAGUCUCAAGACCCAAUAGGGUAAUAUGGUGUCACCCGAACCGGGUUUUUCGGGUCGGUUCCGGUCCACAUUUUCGGGUCCGGGUAAAAUGCCCAGGCCUACUAUUCACCAUGGGAGUGAGCCUAAGUAUUGUUCAAAAAGAAAUCAGCAAUAGCUGAUCGACUAAGUAAUAGAUAAAUAUUUCCAUUUGCAACAUUUAUAACAAUGUAACUAUGUAUUUAGUUACUAGGUGAUUCGUCCGCGCAUGCAUGCAUAAUCAUUAUAAAAUUAUUUAUUAAUAUCAUUAUUAAUUUAUAGACCAUCAUUAUAAGUUAUUGUUUAUGCUCUCAGAUAGUUUAAAAAAAACAUCACAUUAUUUAUAUAUGAAUAAGUUGUUUAUCAAAAUAUAUAUUCUUAUUAUUGUUUUAAAAAUUUUGCAAUCAUGUAUUAUACAUAUUUUGAAAAGUUCGUUACUGUAUUAAAUUCUUAGAAACUCUCAUGUAUUAUAAAUAUUUUGAUUUUUUCGCAAUUGCUUUAAAUCUUUUUAGAAAUUCUCAUGUAUUAUAAUAUAUUGAAAAAUAUUUGUAUACACUACAUUCAAUUAAACAUUUAAUUAUGCAUCUAUUUAUAUCUUAAUUUAUAUUUUUAUUUAUGAAAAAAUUGGAUAGUAACAAAGUAUAUGUAAGAAUUAUUUUUUAUUUUAAAAAAUAUGUUUCUAUAUUUCAACAAUUUUAACUGUAUUAAUUUAUAAUCAAUUAUCUAACAAAUAAAUAAUUUAGUUGUUCAUUAAAGUUAACCGCUCUAACUUUUACGUGAAAGUUCGGAUCGAAAAAAAUUAUUUUGUAAAUAAUAAAUUUGUCAAAACCGUGUAUAUAUAAUUAAAAAGUGAUUUUCUGAUUAAUUAGAUAAGCACGUCUAAAACUUUGAUCCAAACCCUAACCGAUAUACAGUAUCUAAGCCCAGCCCUUUUGGUCCUAUAAAUAGACUGUACUACUUAACAGACUUUUAACUCUGGAGUAUGAGUCUAAGAACCUAAAACAGAGCCCAGAUAAGUAGCCAUAGCAAUAGUUUAAAAGCAUUUUUUUAUUGCUAUGAGGUAUCAAGGUCGUAAUCCCUCCGAGCUCGAAAACACAACACUUAAUAUAAUAUAUUAGGAUCGGCCUGCGCUACGCGCAUGAUAUGAUUGUCGCGUGGUCUAUAUAUUAUUAUAUAUUGUACAUUUUUAUUGCGCUGCCAAUUGUUGCCAUACAUGAGAUUAUGUGUUCUUUGGAUGUUAGGUUGUUGACUUGUAUUAUUUUUAUAUUUGUUUGGAUAGUAAAAGUGGUUUUGGCUGACCGAAUGAGUAUAAAUAGAACUAAUAACUGAUAGUUGUAACAGAGUAAAUGAAGUUGAACUAAAAACAUAUUGUAAAGUUGAUUGUACAAAAUGGAAUUUGUCAAUGCAUGUAUUUUAUAUUAUUUCGUGGGUUAUUGAAUAUAUCGAAGAAUGUAAUUUUUGUUGUGAAUUUUUCCUGAUUUUGAGGUAAAUAUGGUGUGAACAUGUAGGAAGUUUAUGGUGAACGUAUAAUACUCCCUCCCUUCCAUAAAAAUAUAUUUUUUAGUAUUUUCACACAUAUUAAGAAAACACACUAAAUUACUAUAAUAAAUAUAUUGUUUUCUGUAAUUUUUAAUAAUUUUUAAUCAAUAAUAAUUCAAUAAAGUCAAUUAAUUUUCUUGAAGUUUACAAUUUUUUUAUAGAAAACACAAAAAAUACAUCUUUCUGAAACAAAUUUUUUUCUAAAAAAUCUAUCAUUAAAGAACGGAAGGAGUAAUAUAGUAAAUUUUCUUCAAUGUCAGUUAUAGAUUUCGUAACAAUUGUUGUCGUUUUUUCCUAUUUAUGUUUUUGUGGCGCUUUUUUGCUUAGUUUUAGGGUGCAAUAAUAAUAUGAGGGAAUAGGUUACUGAUCAGUUUAUUUUUCAAGAUGUUGGUUACAUUGAAUUGUUGGCUAAUGAGUAAUAUUUAUUUUUGCAUUUUUUAUUUGUUUAUUUAUUUGGUGAUGUCAAGUAUUGCUAAGCUCACAUUUUUGUGGGUUAGAUAAUGGAAAAUUCUCUCAACUAGACAUUUUUAAGUUUUUGUCACAAAAGUAUACUUAAAAAAAUGACCAAAAUAACCCCAUUUUAUUUUAAAAUUUGUAAUAUUUAUUUUUAAUUUGUAAUAUUUAUUUUUAAUUUUUAAAAAUUUGAAACAAUAUCUCCAAAACCUUACCCCGUAACUCUAAACCCUAAGUCUAGAUUAGUUAAUCAUAGGGUAAAAAUAUAUUUUUAUCAUUUAAUAAAACUUAUUUUGGUCAUUUAUUUUCUUCAUUGAGCAGUAUUUUUGUGACAAAAACUUAAAAAGCGCUAUUCUAGGAAAUUUUUCUUAGAUAAUUGGUUAUUUUAUAUUUCUUAGAUGUGGUUUUUGUCUUUUGAAAUUUUUAUGAAUUACAAAUCUUAUUCUAAAAAUGAAAACAUAACAUUUUUUCAAAUAUUAUACAGAUUAGAUGCAUGGAGAAGAGAUGACGCAAUGUUCGUAGUAGAUUUGGUUGAUUUUGAGGACUGAUUAAAAUAAAAAUAGAACUAACUACAUAAGGUAAAGCAACGUAUGCAUAACCUUUUUUUUUUUUUUGAUAAAACGUAUGCAUAACUUAAACUUAAACAAAGAAGACAUAAACACACACGAAAAGAUUUAGGAAGAAAAAAGGCUUAAUAUCUGAAUGGAGGAUUAAGUUUCAAGAUUUCAAAUUUGUAUUAUUAAUAGUUAAUUAAUGAUAAACAAAUCCAUAUAAAUAUAGGAAAAUUAUUAUUAUAAUUUUAUGUUGAGUGUAUGUAUCCCUUUGACAUCAGUGUUGAUCUGUGUUUACUUCUGCAGGUUAGUCGUGUUUGUAAUUCCUGUGAGUGGGAGGUGUGUGAUAUUGUUAAUUAAUUAUUAUGGUAAGAUGGAAUCUUCGGAUUGUUCUAACUACGGGUUGCUUCAAGGAAAGGGAGGUCCUGGGUAUUGAUAUGCCUGGUCUGGAGGUGUGUGUUAGCUGUGUUGUAGUUAGUGGGCACCUGUAUUUUAAAUUGUUUGUUCUAACUGUUCUGGCAUGCCGACGGUCUAAUUGUACAAAAAUUUAAAUUAUUAGUGCGCACGGUUUAAUUUGUAAUGUUAUGGAUUGUAGUGAAGAGAGUGAUGAUGUAACGGUGACCUUUACGCAAUUGUAUUUUGAUAAUGUGACCAAUUAUAGUAUAGUUUCUAGUAGGUACUCUGAGAGUAUUUGUGGUUGCAUGUUGACAAAACGCACAUCUAAUUUUAUGUGUAGAAUAAAUUUUUAGUGCCUCACUAAAUUUUUUGACCUUGCUGGGUUUAGAGAUGCUCGGCUUGCAUCUGAAGAUGCUAUUUUUUUCCUGAGAUGAAACAUUAAAAAGCAUGUUAAAUCAUAUGUUUUUGAAAUUAUUGACAACACCCAAAUUAUCAUUGUAACGAUGCUCUAACAUUUGAAUAUCAGUACAUUAGCUUGGAUGCCGAUGUUAAAAUGUGUAAAUCGUUGAGAAUGACUUGAGUUAAUUAAAAAGACGGUUCAAACCAAAGUUAAUAGACUUAUAAUGCAACUGGAUUGUAAAUAUUUGGAAUGAAAUGAUGUGGAAUGGUCUAUUCCAUUAAUUUUAUAAAAAAAUUUACCAUUUGACAUGAAUGGAAUGUAAUACUCAUUCCAUCAAUUCCAAAAAUAAAUAGAGAAAAUACAAAGAGAAUCAUUCCAUAACAAAUUUGAUCAUGAAAAAAUGGAAUGAAUUCAAUUCCAUUUUUUGCUGUAUUCCAUUCCUACCAUUCCAUUUAUUUUAAAUUCCACAAAUUCCAUAUAUGUUUACCGGUUACACCCUUAGAAAAAGCAAACACUAACAGUUCCAAAUAAAUUAUUGGAUCCCAAAAUGAAACGUAAAAAGUUAUAAUGGUCUACAUAAAGUGCAUCUGGCCCAUUAUCUCCAUCGAUGGAGUGUAUAUUAUCUCUUUCAUCUGUGCAAUCAAAGAAGUUGAAUGUUGGAAACUGAUGUUUGAAGAAUCAACUCUUUCUUUCUCUGUUCUUGGUUUCUUAGUCUUCCAUUGAUUCUCAUAGUAUAUGAGCUUGAGACUUCCAUUCUCAGAAUCAUACUGAGGAUGGUGAACAAUAAGGACGUGACUUCCUGUAUUGUCUCUGUUUCUCUUCAAAGACUUGGGUUUUGUUAUUGCUCUGUCAUGAUCUCUCUGUUUUCAGUCUUCUGUCGAUAUUGUUGUUGCUGUUUGUCGUUGCUGAUAACAAACAAUUGAGCGAUGAAAGAUCGAUCGAAGUAGCUUUGUCACCAACAUGUUGAAUUUCACCAAUGACUCAAAUUCGUGCACAAAUGAGUUGGUGAGAAGAAGAGCAGAGUUCUUAGCCAUAAGCUUAUUUCAUCCCCAUAUCAAAUCUGAUCCUUGAUGCUCCAUGAUUUUGCUCUCUCGGGUCACUCCAUAGAUAUCUUGCGCGUAAACGGAUUCUAAUCCUUCCAUUGGAUCAAACAAAGCCCUGAGAAAACCAACAACGCCAAUGUGAGAAACAAAGCAAGUUUUCCAUAUAGAAAUGAUCAUUUCAUGGAACUUAUCUCCAUCUAUAUUCAUGUUCAUCUGUCCACAAAAACCAAAUUUUCAGGUUUGAAGUUUUCUUAAGAUGGUUGAACAAAAAAAAAGUCUUCUUAAGAUUAAUCAAUGUCUUGCAAACAUAUAUAUAUAACGUUUGUAGUCAUACAUUAUUUUCAGCCAAGAUAGGAGGGAGUAAUGGUAGGAGAAUCUUCAUUGGCGGACUUGAACUCCUGCGUCUUGAGGUUCAACCCUGGCUUCACCCAUACUUUGGCUUCAUAAAGUGUCUUCUUCCCAACCCCCAAUGAUCUCCAGGGUGAGAUGAUGCAUCGUUUUUUCUACAACUUUUUCUUUCUCGUUCACCACCGCACAAACUUGACCACUGCAUUAUACGAUUUUGAAAAACCAAGAGCCCAAAACAUUACUCAAUGAUAAAAUCACUUCCAAGCCUGGCCAAAGAGAUCUAUAUAAACGUACUCAUCAUCCACCAUAAAUCAAUUCCCAAGAUCUACACUUAUCACACUGAAACACUAAACAUGCGAAGGUAUAACAGUAACUGAAAGCAAGAUGAAUAAUUAGAAAUAACACUAAAUCCCGUUAUAGAUUAAACGGAUAUCAAAGCAGAAACAUGAAUCGAUAACAAAAGCUAUCAUAACAAAUUUUGGUUUUAGUGUAAGAAAAGAAAAAAAUAAAACUUAAAACUAAAAGCUUAAAACAACUCUUCCAGAAACAAUGACCAUGUGCAUAAACUGAAAUAAGUUAAAUCUCUCAGAAACCUAAGAGGAAAAACUGGUGAAUUUUACGGAAGGAAACUCACAUAUUUAUAGGUUGGAUUCACACGAUGCAUUGAUGAGGGCAUGCAUUUAAUCAGACAUCGUGGGAAGAGUGGAGGAUUGGUGUUAAUCUGAGCCUUAAUGGUGAUGCUUGAAUGUGGUCGACUUAUGUAACGGUGCUGGAUUUCGUUGCCAGUGAAACGACUCCAAUCGAUUAGCCACAUGAUUUUGUUUACCGGUUAAAAGAGUUCAAACCGAUUAGUCACACACGGCGUCCUCCAACUGAGUCUGGCCUGAGUUAGGGGCUGUUUGUUUCACCAUUUGUCAUCUCCAUCCAAAUGAUUCAUUUGUAUGAUCCAUUCAGAUUUUUCUGAUUGUUUGUUAAUCCAUCCAGAUAAUUCAUCUAGAUGAAUCAUCUAAAUGAAUCUUAUGUUUGUUUCUUUGUUUUCAUUUCCAUUCAAAUGAGUUUAGUAAACAAAUUACCAAAAUACCCUUGUAUUGUUUUAAUCAUAUGUUUGAUAUUAAUUUUAACUAUAUUACAUUUAAUUAUUUAGUUUAAUAUAUUUACAUUAAAAUUAUUUCAAAAUUAACGAGUUUUUUUUUUGCGGUUUGGACGAAAAAAAAAAGUUUUUUUGGUUUUAGCGAGAAAACACAUUUUUCGGUUUUGGCGGGAAAACAAGAUUUUUGGUUCUGGCGGGAAAACGAGAAACUUGGUUUUGGCGGGAAAAUACAAAUUUUUGGUUUUGGCGAGAAAACAUGUUUUUGCGGUUUUGGCGGAAAGAGACGUUUUUGGCGGGAAAACGCGCUUUUUGCGGUUUUGGAGGAAACACGUUUUUGCGAUUUUCACGGAAAAAUGAAUUUUUUUGGUUUUGGCGAGAAAACGAGAUCUUUCGUUAUUGGCGGGAAAACGCGUUUUUGCGGCUUUGGCGGGAAAACACGUUUUUUCGGUUUUGGCGGAACAACGCAUUAUUACGGUUUUGGUGGAUAACGCACUUUUUGCGGUUUUGGAGGAAACACGUUUUUGCGAUUUUCACGGAAAAACAAAUUUUUUCGGUUUUGGCGAGAAAACGAGAUCUUUCGUUAUUGGCGGGAAAACGCGUUUUUGCGGCUUUGGCGGGAAAACAUGUUUUUGCGGUUUUGGCGGAAAACCGCAUUUUUACAGUUUUGGCGGAAAAACGCAUUUUUGCGGUUUUGGCGGAAAAAAACACGUUUUUGCAGUUUUGGCGGGAAAUGCGUUUUGUAAUUUUGGUGGGAAAACACUCUUUUACAGUUUUGGCACGAAAACACGUUUUUGGCGGGAAAACGUGUUUUUGCGGUUUUGGCGGAGAAACACGUUUUUGGCGGGAAACGCGUUUUUGUGUUUUUUUUUGCGGUUUUCGCGGGAAAACAAGAUUUUUCGGCUUUGUCGGGAAAACGAGAUUUUUCGGUUUUGGCGGGAAAACGAGAUUUUUGAUUUUAGCCGGGAAACACGUUUUUUUGGUUUGGCGGGAAAAUACGUUUUUGCAAUUUUGGCGGGAAAACGUGUUUUUGUGUUUUAGCGGAAAAAUGUGUUUUGGGGUGUUGACGUGAAAACAUGUUUUUUGUGAUUUUUGGCAUGAAAACACGUUUUCUGUUUUUGCGAAAAAACACAUUUUUGCAAUUUUGACAGGAAAAUGCGUUUUUGGGGUUUUGGCGUAAAAAAAUAGUUUUAGGUUUUCGUGGAAAAACAUGUUUUUGUAGUUUUGUUAAUUUUCGUAUGAGACAAAAAUGAUAUUAUGUUUAGGUUUGUAAUUUGUGAAUUAUGUUAUGGACAUAAUAGAUAUUAUAUCAUUUUGAAUGAACUAUUUCCAUUCAAAUGAUCCAAAUUGGUUCAAAACUUUAAAAUUAAUCUUAAAUUUCUAAAUGUCAUUCGAAUGAUCCAUUUGAAUGAGUUGCACUUUUAGUGUCUAAACAAACAAAACUUUCAUUUUCACCCAAAUAAUUCAUCCAGACGAAGAAACAAACGGGUCCUUAGUGGUUCUCCAUGAUACAGUCGGAUGCGUGGAAGAACAUGAGAUGUUAUGCGGCGGCAACGGAGUUUUGGAGAAGAGAGACGUACAUGUGGGUUUCAUACUUUCAUUUAAUCAAUACACAAAGCCUUAUUUACUAAAGCCAAUUUGAAUAAGAUUACCAAAAGUCCAAUAAUGAUCCAUCAAAGAACUGAACGGAAAAGAAAUACCUUUACAAAUGACCGAAGCCCAUUAUUUAAAGGUUAAAUGAAACGCAUAGUAUAAGAAACUAGACACGUGUCGCCCUCUGGUGCAUAGAUUUUCUGAUCUGAAAUCCUAGGUGGCAGCACACUAGAAAUGAAGAAACCGUACGUCAUAUAUAUAGAAGAUUCCACCCGUCCACAAUAAAAUUCCUUUCACAUAGACGAAAAACAUCCAUAAUAAUCGACCGUCGAUUUUGCAUUGUAUCAUUAGGAAGGAAGUUUUUUUUUUUUUUUUUGGUAAAAAUGUUAAGUUUAUUACCAUUUUCAUUUUAGACAGAUUUUACAAAGAUCACAAGAAGCAUUAGGCAACUUUGCUUCCUCUCCCUUCAGUCAAGGCAAUGCUAUGUAUUCUAUGUUGUGCGUGGUUGGGGUCUCCUUCGUUUUUUCAAUACAUGAGAAAAACGUAACCUAUGAUUUUACCCUUAGCCCGACUGAAACACAUAUUCAGUCCACGUAAUUUAACUUCACAAACAUGGAACUUCAUACGAAUUCAGUCCACAAACGUAUUUAAUAUUGCGUUUCAGCAAGCCCUUUCUCAAAAAAUUAUUAUUAUGUUUCAUUAAACUUAUCUUUCAAAACAUUUUUUUUCUAAAAAAUAGAUCCUUUUAAAGCGGAUGGGGUAUAUUUUAUUGUGAUUCAUUAAUAUUUUAUUUAAAAAUCAAUUUAACAAAUUAAUAAUUUGUCAAAUUCUUUUACUGUUGAAACUUAACUGGAUUUAAAAGGACAUUAGGGAAUUCGAAUAAUAGUUAUACUGAACUGAUAAUCCUGAAUUUGGAUCUUAAUAUAUUGAAAUUCUAUGAUAUCUAACCAACUUCUAUAAAAAAUAUGCAAACAUUAUUUUGGUUUAAAAUAAAACAAAAAACAAAAUAUUUAAUACAAUCGAUAAUGCUCUCCAGGAUACGCUCCUGGCUUUGCUCCGACGGAUUGAUUGCAGAAUUUCACGUGAGCUUGUUUCAUCAAUCGGUAGGGACUCAGUUCCAAAAUACUUUCUCUUAAAAGUAUAGAUCUGGAUCAAAUUAAUAUAGCCUUGAAACUUCUAGUAAUAAAAUCCAGUUGACUAAAGUUAAAUAUUAUUUCAUAUGUUUCAUAGCUCUUCGAUGCUCAGUUUAAAAGAUAAGGGAAUAAUAAGGAUUAGAAAAACAGAAGAACAAGUGGGGAUUUUCAAUUUGUUUUAGAGUUUCAAUGAAAAACUAAUAAUAUUUUUUAAUUUAUUUUUCUAUUUGGUUGAAAUGUAGUUAGGUGUAUGGGUAAUAAUGUUUUUCUAAUCAUUAUAGUAUUUGAUAUUAUUUUCUUAAUCUUUUAAACUGAGCAUUGAAAAGCAAUGGAAAAAAUUCCAAAUAGUUAGCACAUACAAAAAUAGAUAAUUCGUAUAUUAAAAAAAACAUAAUUUUAUGUAGAGGUUUGGAUUCCGCCCUUGUAUGUUUCUCAGUUUUAUAAAUCAAAUUCAGAUGGAAAAAUAAUGUAGAGCCGGUAUAACCUUUUAUUAGUAUAUCUUCAUCACAAAUGGAGUAUACUGUUACGUACAUAAAAACAAAAUAUAAGCCCAAAGACCGAACAGCCGAACACCAAAGUAGCCAUAAAUCUUGGAGGAAAACGUGAUGAGUUCACGAUCAUAUUUAUUUUUCAGGCAUAUUUCUACAUUAUCUAUAAAAAGCAAAGAGAAUCAUGCCAACAACAAUUAUGAUUAGUCGACUUUGUAAAUGUGAUGAUACAUAUUCAAGUUAUCCAAUUUAAACAUCUUUAACAAUUAUGGCUAUAAUUAUGUUGUAUCUAUAACGAGAGUCGGAGACGUUAGACCAAAGUAUCCAAAGAUAGGUUUAACUUGAAAAUAACAAUUAUUGAUAGGGGUUCCACCAAUAUCAUUCGAGUCUAUCAUGUUUCCCAUACUUUUGCAGGUAACACGAACAUGUAACGUGACAAAAUUUUGUUUUCCUCAACGGUAACAAUUUAAUUUACCUAUUCUAUUCGUGAAUCGAUUAGACGUUUGAAACUAAAUUAUAUUGGACAUAGAAAAAAAAAACAAAAACAAUACAGACAACCGGCAAAAAAAAGAGUCCAGCGUAAUUUGUUUAGCUGUUUAGAGAAAAACUGUUAUCAUCAAUUAUGAUAGAUUCAAAUUUGAAUAUAGUAUAGCUUGCUGGGGAAUGAAGGACUUUUGUAUUACAUAGUUCUCAAAUGUGUUAUGAGCAUCAGUAGUUAAUUGUAGAUGAGCUGUGUAGGAUGUUUAGGGGAAACGAAAAAGAGUGUAGCUUAAGAGGGUAGCUUUAGACUGAAUUUUUGUGUGUAUAUAUUGCAUCUAAUGGAAAAAAAUUAGAAUUAAUUAUAAACUGUUCUAUAGAAAAACGUAUGAAUUAAGAAUUAGUCAGUGUCAACUUCUUUAUAACAUCAAAGAGCUUUGAUUUCUCUAGAUGGUAAUAAAUUAGUAACAAAUAUAGUGGCAAACUAACAAAAAAUGAACAAAUACUCUUUUGGUUAAAAAAGGAUCCAUGUUUUAAAACAAAAUUUGCUUCAAAAAAAUAUAUUUUACAUUUUAAUUCAAUUUUUAUUAAAUAAUAAUGACAAUUUGUAAGCUCUUUAAAAAUAAUUAUAUUUAUUAAAUUGUGAUUGGCUAAAAGUUGUAGAAAAUAGUUAAUCAUAAAAAAAAAUUAUAAUUAAAACUGCAAGAUGAUUUUGUGUCAAAAAUCUAAAAGAUAUUCUCUUAAUGAGUAUGAUAUAACUAAAAUUGCAGUAGUAUAAUUGAUUUCGAUAGAAUUUCAUUUAUUAAUUAGAAAACUGAAUUAUUUCACGACACUGAGACUUGUCCUAUAAAUACAACAUUUCCUCCUCUUAACUUGUAUCACAAAGCUAAAUACGAAAGAAACAUGGGGUUCUUGGGUAAGAGUAUAUUGUCGAGUCUCCUUGCAAUAUGGUUCUUCACUUCCUGUGCUUUCACUGAAGAAGUGAACCAUGUGAACCAAACGCCUUCCUCUGCUCCUGCUCCAUCUCCUUACCACCACGGCCACCACCACCCACAUCCUCCCCAUCACCACCACCCUCACCCUCACCCACCGGCAAAAGCCCCUGUCAAGCCGCCGGUUUCUCCACCUUCUAAACCUCCGGUUAAGCCUCCAGUUUACCCCCCAACCAAAUCCCCGGUUAAGCCCCCAACUAAACCUCCGGUUAAGCCACCAGUUUCCCCACCAGCAAAACCUCCUGUUAAACCUCCGGUUUACCCUCCGACCAAAGCUCCAGUUAAGCCCCCAGUCAAACCUCCGGUUAAGCCACCAGUUUCACCACCGGCCAAACCUCCAAUAAAGCCACCAGUUUCACCACCGGCCAAACCUCCGGUUAAGCCCCCGGUUUACCCUCCGACCAAAGCCCCUGUUAAGCCCCCGACCAAAGCCCCGGCUAAGCCUCCGGUCUCUCCUCCAGCCAAACCACCAGUAUCCCCUCCAGCUAAGCCACCGGUGAAGCCACCGGUUUACCCGCCAAAAUUCAACAGAAGCC
rnacentral:lncRNA from 1 species